GUACCGGUACUCCAAAAGGCAAAUUGAGUAGAUAAGGAGCUUUUUGGUCUUUUGUUAGCGUUAAAACCAAACCAAACCCCCCAGCCUUCUCUUUUGUGCCUGAGGUUGGUGAAACACAGGUUGGCUUCUCUCUCUCUCUCUCUCUCUCUCCUUAAUUUUUCCUUGCAUUUUGUUGGGAACCUGAGGUUAGAGCUCGUCAUUUCCUUUGUGUCGUAGGAGGGUUGCACGCGCGCCGUGGUGGAGUCCGGUUGAACCGUCGGAGGUCGAGCGAGCGCGCGAGGUGUCUCCUGUCGACUUCUUGCCGACGUUGGACGAGCACUCGAGGUGGGUUAAUAUUUACCGAAAUCGUCGGAUUUCCUCCUAAGUCGUAGUGUUGUCAGCAUGUGUGUCACGCCCCGAGCCCCGCCUAUUUGGUCGGGUUCGGGCACACCGACAGACCGCCGAACGGACAGAGUCUCCCCUGUAUGUCCUAGGCGUCACAAUCGAUACAAGUACAAGAAGUUCCAAUCAGGAACAGUAUUCAAGCAAGAUUGCAUAAGGAAGGUAUCAAACAACAUAACACAUCCUAUGUUAUUACAAGCAUUCCUAUUAGAUUCAUUUCUACAUCACAUUAGCAUUAUUAUAUUACAUUUUCUUCCAAAUACAAUUAAUGAUCGCAAUAUUAUUAUAAGUUUGCUCUUUUUUUUUUCUUUUUCCUAUACCCCUAGGCUAUGCAGACUCGGGGUACCUCUAUCUCUGGUCUCUGGGGUAGGGCGCUAUCUAUGGAGCUACGCCCUCACCUUGCGCCGCCGCGCCGCUCACGUGCGAACCUGCAACACCCCAAAACAACAUGGGGUGAGAACCAAUUCCAUGGUUCCCAGUGGGUACGGCCACCCAAGGGAAAAGCUCGACCAAUAGGUCUAAGGAGGCCCUGCAACAUGUUAGUCCAACAGAUAUCCAACAGAUAUAUAUAUAUUCAAGUAUUGAAAUACAUGUUGUGCCUCACGAUAUGCAAUAUGAAAUUCAUGCAGUUUAUGCAACCAUGCAACCAACUAGUAGUUCAAUCGAUACUACUUUUAUUCCUGUUAUUCACAGUUCAACCAAUUGACCUCUAAGUUUUCCUCUAUCUUAGAUUCUUGUCAAUUACAGUUCUGCUCAUAGAGUUUAACCUACUAUUAUAAGCUAUCCACUCGACUCGGUUUUGAGUCAAUCACACGCGGAAUACCGCACAAUGCCAGACUCAAGGUGAAGGAUGUCUCACAUGCACCUCAGCCCUAAAUCCACUCAACUGGGAUGCAACUAAAACUCAUAUAAUGCAUUAAAUAGUAAAGGUUUACUAUCAUGCUAACGAAUUCGAUCCAUAUUCGAAUAAUAAUGUUCAAUGGCAUUGUUCACUAUCUUUUACCCAAUCUGUAGCAAAGCCCUAUAAUAACAACAACAAUCUGCGGAAUACGCAAAAUCUGCGUACCGCCCAGACCCGUGCACGGCCCGCCCGAAGGCGACCCAGGGCCCCGCACUGUGGUGUGGUGCACCCGUCCACUGUUCAACUGCGUCCACAUAGAACUGCUCUAUCACUCUGACGUAACCCACGGUUUCAGCUAUUACAACCUAGCGUUGGGGGCCAAAUGGAGUGUGAAGACCUUCUCGGACGUCUUUUGGGAAUCGUAUGCCGAGCUAAAAUCAUAUCGUAAGGUAGGAGUCUGUCUACCCGUUUAUCUUUCCUGGUAAAUUUGAGACCUCCUAUACGACGUCCGCAUACAGUAGCUGAUAUUCCCCUCAACCACACUAGUAAACGGCUACCGGCUCAAGCGGAUGUUGUUGUCAAAAGUACGUUCAUAUCUCUACCGUGGCAAACUCCGGGAGAUACCCGCCUUCACAGCCAGAGGAUAUGUGAGCCCACUACACCCACUCGUACAUCUCAAGCCGGGUCUGCACAACGCUCUUCGUCUCCUCUUUCAGGCGGAACGAGCGUUCGCUGACGAGUGCCGCGUCAGCUCUGUCUUUUCGAUACGACUAUCCGCGGCAGCUCUGUAUCUUAGAUGCCACCCACUGGCGCAUAAGAAUUUUCAAAGCGGUUACACCCACACUUCGCCAAACCUCACGCCCUUUCAAUUCAGGGGACAUAUAACUUGGUAUACUCUAUAACCUCGCUCAACCGUGCCAUCGGAUAGCUGAACGGAACGGUGGCUUCGAGCGCCUACAUGUGUUACACAAGGUACAGAGGUUGGAAGCGUUCAUGUAAAUACUGGAGAUCGUACGCUACGAUAUACUUGGCGGCCUUGAAGUUCUUCUGAACUCGAUGCUCCUUAAAGGCCACUACCAAUAGCGGGUUCUUCACGCUUUUGACGCUUUAGCGCUCUAAGGGAUGUACUUCUAGGCCACCUCGUUAGUACUACUAGCGCUCCGGUGGACCCUUGAGCUCUUAGACUACUCUUUCGUAGUAGGAGUGAAUAAACUCCUUAUUCCAUAUCUUUGACUCAAAAUUAAUUCAAGUUAGUCAAAGCUCCUACUUUGAGGAAAAUUCCUCCCCUCCUACAUUCCUUCACUUAAGAGCUUUAGGCUCUCAACCUGAAGUAGGUCUUAGCUGAUUAACAGCUCACCCAUCCGAAGCCUUUUCAAUUUCUAAAAGUUUUGUGUUUUUCAUGAAACCUCAGUUCAGGCGCUCUCGUUUCUACGUUUUUAUACGUAAACCGUCCAAGACGAGAGCCCCUGGCCAGGGACCGCCACCCCUGGCCAAGGGCAUUCGUUCUUACGACCGUCUCUUCCCCAGACGCGACUCAACGAGAGCCCCUGGCCAAGGAUCGUUCCUUCCUGGCCAGGGGUAUUGACUCCAACGCCGUCUGUCGAUUACGUUGGCCAGGGACCGUUCUUCCCGGCCAAGGGUAUUCGCAUAAACCGACUCCACGAGAGCCAUCCCUACGUUUACCUAGGCCCAACCACCUCGAGGUGGGGCUAGGCGGGGCUUACCCCACCAUUCACCCUUUUGUUUUAUAUCUUUUUAUAUUGGGCGGGGCUUAGGCGGGGUUAGGCGGUUCAUUUACCUCGCCCUCCGCCCUCUGAGAAAAGAAGGAAGUUAGAUGGGGCUAGGCAAUUUUUAGGCGAGGGCGGGGCGAGGGCGGGAUUAGGCGGAGCUUACCUCGCCAUUCACCCUCGGUUUUUUAUUUUACUUUUCAUUGGGCGGGGCUUAGGCAGGGCGGGUCUAUUUUUUACCUUGCCCUCCACGCCCUUGAGAGGGCGGGGGCCUAGGCGGGGCAAACGUAGGGAUCGAGAGCCCCUGGCCAGAGAGUAGCCCUCCUGGCCAGAGGGUCCCUGGCUAGAGAGCACGUCCCUGGCCAGAGAGCACGUCCCUGGCCAAGGGCAUACGCACUUCCGACCGUCUCUCGGAAGGAGGGCGUACCUAACGAGAGCCCCUGGCCAGAAGGGCUGCUCCUUGGCCAGGGAGGCACGCUUUUGACGAGUCCGUUUCGUCAAACUCUUUACUUUUCAACUCCCCGAACCGACGUUAAUACGGAAUCAAUCUCUCAUAUCUCUCGUUUCCCGAGAGAGAGGGAGAGAGUAAAGGGAGAGUUGAGAGUAGAGAGAGAGGGAGAGAGAGAUCUUCUUUUCUUUCUCUUCUUUUCUUCCUCUUCUUCUUCUUACUCUUUACUUCCUUUUCUUCUUCUUCUUCCUCUCGCUCGAUCCCUUCCGAACCUCGUAGAAGAGCAGAAGGAGAGGAGAGGUAACCUCGAUUGGAUCUCCAUUCGAGAACUCGGGAUUACCAUCUUGAAUUCCAAAAACCCAAAAACCGAAAACUCUACUCCAGUUUAUCUGGAGAUCGUGAUAAUUAUCACCUUAUCUCGAUCUUCGAUCCCAAGAUAUCACGAUUAACGUUCUACACUUGGAAUCCUGUGGGUUUACCCCCAAAAACCUUUAUGUACUCUAACUAGAGUAAAUCACCGAACAUUUGGAUAAACUAUCCACAGAUUUGCGCCCCCGCUUCAGCCUAAAAGCCAAGUAGCUCGCCCAUUUUUCGAUAGCCGCUUUAUAUCAGCUAACUCGUGGCAAAACCUGGUUCCUCCGGUUCUGGAGUAGCAUUGUAAGCAACCCUUCGCAAAGAUCUUGGAAGUAUGGAGUUUUCCACCUCCCACAGUAGGGUUUCGUUGGCUUGAAAAAAGAUACAGAAUCUUUAUGUAUUAAAAGUAGAGAACAUACAACGUAACAUCCUAACGUAAUAUCAUGGAAAAAGAAUACGAAGAUUUACAAUUGGAUCACACGUACCUUAUGAACCACUUUAACUAUCCAUUCCUAACCCAGCCUUAUACCUAGGAUAUCACGGUUUUCUUUCUCUACUUGAGCUACCAAUAAGUCACUGUAUCUCUCACCGUAAUUACAUCACAUGAACUGUGAUUUCCAAGUACUUGAAUCCCUAUUCACCUAAAGGAUCUUUUACUGAGCACUUGUUACUUGAAUCAUCUCGAUUUAUUGAUACGUACUUACAGCUUUAUCCACUCAAGGCUCUCUUACAACCAGGAUCAAGCAUCCCAUAGGAGUGCACCUCUCCUAUCUAGUUCGAGUGCCAGACAAUAAGCCCUAUCAUUUCGGUAGGUAUAGGAGUGUACCUCUCCUAACCAGCAGCUCAUGAGGCCUCACAGCCCGCUAAUCCUGGUGAACCUCCAGGCCUGGUGUACCUCCAGGUAUCUGCCAGGGCUCGAACCCACGUGAACCUCGAGGGAGGGGUGAAACCCUAACUUUUCACUCAAUAACCGCUUGGGUNACAUAUAAUCAUCAUCCAAAGUAGUCUAUACUUAGCAUCUCAUGCAUUCUUUUAGCAUUUAAUUCAUUAUACAUUUCAUCUCAUUGGUAGGUAAUAUCAACUACAUAGUAUGUUUCAAGCAUUCAUAUUAUCAUGUAAGCCUACCAAUACAACUAUAUGCAUCAAUGUGAAUUCGUAUGUUUCUUAGACAUAAAGGGCGACCUAGUCGCUUCGGUAAGCACAACCCACCUCAUAUCGCAUUCCGAUUGCUUGUCGACACUUGCAAUCGGCCUCCCGCGGCACCCGUAUCCGGUUCGACCCGAUUUUGCUAAUACUCACCAACCGUGGGUCGAAUCGCGGCUCCGAAAAUUAUAGGUCUUCGGUUUUGUGCCACAAUGCUCCAAACCCAUUUUCAUGAUUUUACGAUGUCGCCUCGACCCUCCAGGCAGAAACGAAGCCUAACGUCCGUUUCUUUAAUAACUUCACAACGGCUCGACGAAUCGCCGAACCGACUUCGCCAAUGCGUUCGUUUACCUAGCAAUUAGGUUUACGGAGGGAGGGUCAAAUGAGAUCAAACCCUACUAUUUUACAAAACCCCAUUCGGAGCCCUAAUAUGCAAUUAGCCUCCAAAUAAUCUAAAUUAAAUGGAGCAAUAUGCUAACAAUGUUCAUUAGAGGCUAUUAGAACACUUAAUGUGAAGGAUUAAGCCAAAUCCCAAAAGCUUACCACAAUGUGAACGCCGCGACGAAAACACGUCGCUCCAACGGGCGUACGAAAGCUCGAUCCGUCGCCUCCAACGCGUUCGCAAGCAUCUUCUCCACCAACGCCCCGAAUUUGAGCGAGAGAUUUGGAGAGAUGAGAGAGAAAUCUAGAGAGAGAGAGAGAGAGCUUUCUCUCUCUCCAUCAUGUAUGCGUGUGUGUGGUGUGCGGGUGUGGUCGGCUGAGGAAGAAGAAGCAAAAGGCUUCUUUAUAUAUUACACCCCAAAACACUAUUCACUUCCGAGCAGUUCGAAAUCUGAUAUUUUUUGCCGGAACUCCCUGAACAUCCGUUUGAGCUCAAAUUUGACAGUCAUAUUCAGUUUUACUCAACGAGUCCAAAGAAAUUUUAAUAUUUCAGUUUCGACCCCAUUUGGUGACCGAAAACUAUACCGAACUGUAAUCUUUAUCAGAUAGCUGUCGGAUUUUAUUUUUCACCUUCCGGAUGUCAGAAUGACAUGAAACUUGAAAUCUAGCCUCAUAAAAUUAAUUCUGACAUAUCCUCCAGUUUUCAUAAUUUUCUGACACUGUACAUUUUUUGCUAAUUUAUCUGCCCCGUCUCUCACAGAAAACUCUAAAUUUUUUAUUUUCGCUCCGAUUUCAGCACAGGUCAUUUCCAACUUAUAUUUCACUUCUCUAAAUCCAAUAAAAAUAGUAUGUCAUACAAUUUUUAUUUAUUUCUAUUUUUAUAUUUAAAAUUCGGUAUAUUACAUUCCACCGUAACCUCACCGGAACCAUUCAAAUGGCUUUCCAACCAAAAUGUACACUGUAACUUCAUAAUUUUAAAAGUCCGGUACCUUACAAUGUGGUUCUUGGUUUUGGUUAUUACGUUGUAACUCAAAUUCAGAACAAGCAUGUUUUAUGAAAUUUGAGUUUUGGAGCAUGAUUUAGUAUUUUAGACAAAUUUAUAUGCUGAACUUGGAAUUGACUUAGGAGAAAACUCAUUAAACCUACACCGUCAUUUUUCGAAAAGUUACCAGAUUUAGCUUCGGGAGCUACUGUACUUUUGUAUCCCCGCUGUUAGUACGUAUUGGAUACUCAGAUUAGUGUAGGGUGAGUUUACGCUCGUGCUAAGGGCCCGAGCUCGUUUUACAGUAGAGUGUAGACUGUUCUGUACUGUCGGGUGCCGUCGUGGUUGACGGUGGACCUAGAAUUGCAUCAGACUGUGCUAAGGGCACGUGUGUCACGCCCCGAGCUCCGCCUAUUUGGUCGGAUUCGAGCACGCCAACAGACCGCCGAACGGAUAGAGUUUUCCCCUGUUCGUCCUAGGCGUCACAUAUCCAUACAAUGCAAUACACGAGGUUCCAAUCAGGAACAGUAUUCAAACAUAGAUUGCAUAAGUAUCAAAAAUAUAAAUGCUAAACUAUACUAUUACAAGCAUUCAUCUCACAGUUUCUUUUUUUACAUGUUACAACUUCCAAAUACCACUACUGGGCGAGGAGAACCAACAUACCCGUUGAAUCACUACCGGGCGGGGAGAACCAACAUAUCCGUAGUUCUGAUUCACUUGCUUCAUAGCAUACUGGGUGAGGAGAACCAACAUACCCGUUGAAUCACUGUCGGUCGAGGAGAACCAACAUACCCGUAGUUCUGAUUCACUUUUUGCCAAUCCUCUUGUCUCAACCACUGCACUUGCAGUCCCCAUUCCUAGGGAUUCCGGAAUCCACUUCCAAAAAAUUAAAGGUUUAGCACAUGCCCUAUUGUUAACCUUUCUAGGUUUAAACCAUUCAUUUCCUAAUGGUCCUUCUACCACUAUAAUCCACAACUUAGUUUCAAAUACACUAAGUGUCACUAUACAUCAUGACAUAGGUUCAAUCACGCUAUGUUCUAUGUCAUUUCUAUCUAGAUCUCGACUCUAGGUUUCCUUAUUCAACCUAUGUUCAAUGACACUAGGUUCAUGUCCAACCUAUGUUUAAUAACACUAGGUUCAUGCCACUCGAUCUACUUAUCAUCCUAGUUGUCACACCUAGGAUUGUAGUUUACAUAUUCUCACUUUAUAACUGUCGAGUUCUCUAAUCAACCUAGAGUUAUCGACCCAUAUUCAACUCAUACGAAUCUAGCAUGUUCACAAUAUGUCAACGUUCAUAUAUCAUAUAGCAUUACUGUAAGGUGCCGAACUUCUGAGGUUAUGAAGUUACGGUGGAAUAUGAUGUACCGGAAUUUUGAAUAUAAAAGUAAAUAUAAAUAAAAAUAGUAUGAGAUACUAUUUUUAUUGGACUUGAAGAAGUAAAAUUAGACCUGGCAAACGGGCGGGUUGGGUAACCCGUGUGUGGGUCAUUGUACCCACGAGUCAUAUGGGUAUGGGUAAAAUUUAUCCGCAAAUUUUUGGGCAGUCGACAUCAUUACCCAUACCCGCCCGCGGGUGGGUGGGUGGGUAUGCGGGUUACCUAUAAAUUUUUUUUUCUUUUUUUACUUCUAUACUUUCUAAAUACAAAACACAUAUAUAAAAUUUUUAAAAGCGUAACAUAAUUCACUGCGUAAAAUAUCACAAAAUACAAUAAAAAUAUUUAAAGCCUUAAAGCGAAUAAAUUUCAUAAUAUAAAAAUAUUUUACCAUCCCAAAUUUUCAUGAUAUCAAAUUAAUAAAUUUUUCAUAAUUAUAGAGUCAAUAUAAUAAAGAUAAACCACCAAAACUCAAUCCACAACUGUCGCUUUAGUAGUUGAUUCUCUUGAUUCUGGAGUUUCACCAAUAUUCAACAAUGGCACCACAAGAUCGUUGUCGUCGUGUUCAUCUACAUUUAAAAUUUGAAAUAAUUAAUUCUCAUAGAAUAAAAAAUAUUAUAAUAUUAAUUUAAAGUAAAUAAAUUUAUUACNGUAGUGUAAUCUAUUGCGAUCGUUAACACUGUUCUACCUCCCCUAGAACUUCUCAGUCGAGACAUACGUUUUACGUAAUAAUACAUUACCUUUUAUAAAAGUACACGCAACAAGACGAGUAUAGAAUUUGAACUAACAAGUUCUCCCAAAUUUUCAAAGAUCAUACCGUGAUGUAUUCUAAGCUCUUUCAUAAUUCAUGGAAUUCUUGUCACUCCGUUCUAACUAAUUUAAACGUCUUGAACGUUUCGUUUGUCUACAAUGAUGAAGUUACGUAAACGCGUACCUAUAUACGUGAUCCACCUUGAGGUGUAUAAACUACGAUCUCUUACGAGAAUGUAAAGCUGUACAAAAAUACGUAAUAAGAAACAAACUAAGUGUAAUAUUUAUAACAGGAAGUUUACUACUCACCCUAUCCCGCCUUUCCUAUACACUAAAAAAUCUUGGUAAAAUACUCUAAUGAUGAGAAAAUAGGCCAAGACUUAUAGGUUGACGUUUAAACAUGAAAGGUUCGCACACCUUUUAAGUUUUCGCGGAAGAACUUCUUCGGCUCUCACUUCUACUUUAAUAUUCACUGUACCGUUUUGUUUACUUUAGGUUCAAACUCUUUAUAACCCUAUUAAUAUUACACUAUAACCGAUAACGUUAAUAAGAACUAAUCCGGAGCGUUUACUCAUUCGGCCGAGCGCAAGCCGAGCGCAAGCCUAGCUAUAAGCUGAGAGAGUUUUAGUCCAAAUAGGUUGAUCUAUGGAUCUUCUACGUGUUCCGUCUUUCUAUGAGUGUUCGGUUCUUUCACAUUGUUAACAAGCCGUUCUUAACAUAAAUGAAAAACUUUUUAUACAACUUUUCAAAAGACACGUUCGGGUUCUUUUUAGAAGUAGUUGAUGAUUAACAAGAUGACCACGAUUUUCUUUCUUUUUACUGUAAACACAUUCAAUAAGAAAUCGAAAAAGAAAUAUCAACGUCAAUAAGUUUAUGAAUUGAAAAAACAUAUAAAUAAUUAAAAAAAACAUAUAAAUAACAGAAAUUAAAAAUUUACAAAGUUACCAAAUCCUGAAACUACCGAAACUAUCACUUAAACCGCAGUGAUCGUUUAGACUUAAUCUAGCUAUAAACCUCCUCUGUUUCAAGCUAGCAUAUUUUGUACGAUUUAACUUAUAAGAACUAAAAACCUUCCUAUUAACACAAGCCAUAGGUUAAGAAAGAUUCUACCGCGCACUAUAAUACUCGUAUGGUUAUUGUUGGCAACGAAGUCUUAGACGAACAUCGUAACCUUCAUUUCACGAGUGUUUCAUGGCUUCAAGUGAAACUGGUCUUUUACGAGUUCAAAACUAGACGUGUGCUUCAACCAACAUACCUAUACUUUAAUUUCCAUUAUUUAAAUAAAUGAAAUUUAAUUAUAAUAUUAUAAAAAAUAAGAAAAUAUUUUUUUCUCAAUUCCCCAAUCUUUUAAGAACUCAAAAACUUUUUCAGAUAGGACAGCACCCGAGUGUGGAGGAGGAAGAUGACAAAAAUUCAAAAUUUUACUAUGCAAUAUCCAAUUUUCAUCUACAAAGUGUGCUGUUAGGCAAAUAUACCCUUCACUUGUGCAAGAUGACCACAAAUCAGAAGUAAGACAUAUUCUACUAGAAACCUUCCCUAGAAUAUGCUUAAUAUUUUCUUUCUCCCUUUUAUGUAUUUUCAGGCAAUCGGUCUUUGCUGUGUUUCUAGUAUAGGGUUUGACGUCCUCAUUCAAGUAAAAAUGCACAUCCCUAAUUCCUUCAUGCGCAGCAAAUGAGAAAGCAUAAUUGUGUUUCAUAAUUGCAAUCGCCAUCUUCUCACGAUAAGUUUCUUGGUUAAAUUUUUUUCCACGUAAUUUUGCCUCGUAACCUGUAAUAUACCGAAAAUUCAGAAAAUAAAUGUCGAACUUUAGUCAAAUUGACUAAAGUGCGAGGACGGUACAUUUCGGAAAGUCCGAAGGUGUUAAAAUGAUUAAAAGUGAGUUGCGGGAGGUUGUCGAGAGCUAUAGAAUCAAAAUCUGCAAACUGCAGACUUUGAGCUCUCGGGGACUGGUCCCUGGUGGGAGAGACCGGUCCCCGAACGCGUAUGAUUUGAGACAGCCGAAAAAUCGGCUAAGUCCUGAGAAAUUAGCUCUCGGGAACCGGUCCCUGCCUGAGAGACCGGUCCCCGAGAGACCGGUCCCCUAAAGAGAGACUGGUUGCACCGCGCGCGGCAGCUCUGGCUGUGCUGGGACGACCUUCGGGAACCGGUCCCUGAAGGAGAGACCGGUCCCCGACUGCGCGAACUGCCCAGUUCGGGCAGUGUAAUGAGAUCAAAGCUGAGGGACUUAUCUGCAAAAAUGCAUUAUGUGGGUCAUGUUUAGGGUUGAGAGAGCCUCUCCCUCUCCUUCCCUCACACCUAAACUCAUCCCUCUCCCUUCCUCUCUCUAGAAGACAAAGAAGGAGAAGAAGAAAGGAAGGAAAAGAAGGAGAAGAAAAAGGAGAAGAAGAAGAGGAAGUGAAGAAACUCCCUCUCCCUCAUCUCUAGCUUGGAAAAUGAGAGCUUACAAGGUAAGCCUUGAACCCUAAUUAUGGUGGGACCUAAUUUAGGGUUUGGAUUAAGCUUAAGAUGGGUUUUAUGGAACCAUUUGAGUAUUUGAAGUUUUCUUUUGCUUCUUUUGAGAUCAAAACCAUGGUUUAGCUCAAAGGUGAGCUUCAACCCACCUCUCAUGGUGAAAUCCAAACUAGGGUUUGGAAUGAGCUAGGAAUGGUUUAGAUGAACUCUUUAGAGUACAUUGAAACUACUUUUACUUCCCAAUGAGAUCAAACCCUAGGUUUGAUAUAUGUAUUGGAGCUAGAGCACCAAGUUGGGGCUUUUGCUCAUGGGAAUUUCUAAGUGCAAUUGACCCUCUAGAAACCUAAUUGGGGGUAUUUCCGACGCGUUGGUGCGUACGGAUUAACAUUCCGAAGAACCAAUGAAAAGAUAUGAGCAAAAUGACCUAUUAGGGCUUCGUUUUGCCGCAGGUAAAGAACGAGAAGCCUAAAAAUCCCGAGAAAAUCGUCGGAGCACCUUUGAAAGCCUACAAGGUGGGUGGUGCUUCUCAAACUCAUUGAACUUCUCUUUAUGCCUAAUGUGUCAUUCAUUUGAACAUGUGUAUAUAUAUUGUUGCAUGCAUUUUAGGGUAAAGUAAUGAUAAAAUGUGAUGAUGCACGAUUGUGAGUACAAUUUGCAUAAUAUGAUGAAUGAGAACUAAGUAAACGUCGAAAACCCUAUGUGUAUGCAUGAGAGGAAGGUGAGCACCCAAAGUGAGCAAAAGAACAGAGUGACACAAUGACAUAGAUCGAGUGGCAUUUGAUAAAGUUAAAGUGAAAUGACACUAGAGAUAGUGUGAGGUAAAGAACCAACGUAAUGUAAAGAAUGAUGAAAAGGAUAAUGUGUAAAGUUAAAGUAAAGUGGGGCAAUAAGAACAAAAAAUGUAACGAACAAGAAUGCUAGAGCUAGCAGAAGUAAAGAAAUGUAAAGAAUGUGAUUGCAUGAGUUUGCAACAUAAAGUGAUGUAAAGGACACUAGAGCUAGUGUAAAGUCAAGAUUGAACUUAUAAAUCCUUUGAGUUAAGGAUAUGAUCAUACUUGCUAUGAGUUCCGUGCUCGAGGGCGGUCGCUCCCCCUCGGGCGAUGCGCUCCGGAGUUAUGCAUCACGGGUUGGAGUAAACCCGAAGGACGGUCCUAGCGGGUGAGUUCCUGCGAUGAUGGACUUAAUGUGAAACAAGUUAAUGUGGCGAAACCCCCGGGUUAGCCUUGAGAUUAAAGAACAAAGAGCAAAGAACAAAGAACAAAGUGUAACGUGAAAAGAACAAAGAAUUUGCAUAAUCUGCAUUUAUUCAAUGUUGAGCAUAUUUCUGCUUAUUGUUCAGGCAUAUUAGCAUCAUGUAUAGAUUGGUUACUAUAUGCAGCUUAUUCUUUCUAUUAUGCCUGAGUUAGUCCUAGUGGGAAAGUCGGUGAUGUUGAGGCCGAACCCACUGGGAACUUUGUUGUAGUUCUCACCCCACUAUUCCACAGAGCCGGGACCGAGCGAGCUGGCGAGCGACCGAGGCAAAGGUAUCGCGCCUUAGUCAGAGGCCACCAAAGUUGGAUUUCAUUUUGUAGUAAAGUACCCUAUGAUCAUCCUUUGUAUAUGAUGAUAAAUGAUGUAAAGAAAAGAAUGUAAUAUGUAUUUUGAGGUAAAUGUGAUGUAAGAAAGAAAUGAUGAGAUGAAAUGGAAGAAAUUCAAAGAUGAACCAGAUGAAUGAAUGUAUAUGAUCAAAAAUGAAUCAUAGUACAAAUGAAUGUUUAGUUUCCUUAUUCUUUCACUAAUGGCUAUUGCUUAUCCUCGUAUAAGCCGUUUGUGUAUAUAUUUCCGCUAGUGCUUUUCUCUAUUGAUGAAAAUGUACAUGUGAUGAGCCUUGGGCGGAUAGAAAAAACUCUGUCCGUUCGGCGUCUGUUUGACGUGCUCGGGCCGGCCCAAAUUGGUAUCGGUCCCGGGGCGUGACAUAACCAAAAUGUAGUUGCUUUACAUCUUGGUUAAUUUUCUUUGGACAACUUUGGAUAUGGCGUUUUAAAUUUGCUGUCCCAUGAGUAUUAGUACCUAUCGCAUAAGAGGCCUUGCACAAUAUACACCUUGCCCUAUUAUUCCCAUCAUCAUCAACAUAUGUGUCAAAACUGUUCCAUACAUCUGAAUAUUUACGAGGUUUUUCUUGCAGAAUCACUAUCACUAACCCUUUCUUGUUUAACAGUAGUUUGAAUAAUAUCAGGCUGUUGUGUCUCACAAUUAUUAUUUUCGUCCACUAUCUGCACAUGUUCUGAAUCCAUACUACAUAAUGGGAAAAAAAAAGUUACUCCACUAUUUUUGAAAAUUUUUCAGAUUUCAGCAUAUUAACUUUCAACCAAAUAAUGUAAUGAGCAAUAUGAAGCUAGCUAAUUUUUUAUUUCAUAUUUGUUAAAAGCUACAAGAAAAAUUAAAGGGCCAUUGCCUAAACAUUUGUAUUGAAAAUAAACAGAUGUAAAGUUGGAGAAGGACGAUGCAUUAAAAUUAGAAAUCAAAUCACUAGCAAGUUUUAUCUUCAACAAGAAAGUAAUAUAACAUAAACUUAUUCUAUGUAUUCGGAAUGCUAUAUUAUCUACUGCAAUGUUAUUUACCAACAAUUAACAAGAAGGAAGAAAAAGCCGAAAAAAUCAUACAUUUUCCAGAUAAACACAAAAAAGCCGGAGAAGGUGCAGGCGAAGAUCGUAAAUAAGCACUUGGUGGUUCGAUGUAGGUCGGGCCACCAGAGAAUAGUAGAGGAGUGCAGUUGCAAAGGCGACACAGUAUGAGAGGUGGCCACAACGAAAAAAAGAUAAACGAAAGGAAAUUAGGAUUAGGGUUUUUAGGAUGGGUAAACAAAAAAAAACAUUUUUUUAAUUAAAAAUAUAUAUCCGGGUACCCGUGGGUACCCGCGGGUUACCCAGAAUGCCCACAACUUAAUGGGUACCCACCCAUUUUACCCACAAUUUUUUGGGUAGGAAAAGUUGGUACCCAUACACGCAAUUUUAUGGGUAACCCGCGGGUAUCCGCGGGUUUGGGUCGAGAUUGCUAGGUCUAAGUAAAAUAUAAGUCGGAAAUGACUUUUGCCGAAAUUGGAUUGGAAACAGGAGAUUUAGAAUUUUCUGUUUGAAAUGGGGCAGGUAUUUUAGCAGAAACUUCACAGUGUCAGAAAAUUAUGAAAAUCUGAAAAUAUGUUGGGAUUAUUUUCAUGAGGCUAGAUUUAAAGUUUCAUGUCAUUCCGACACCCGGAAGGUGGAAAAUAAAAUCUGACUGCUAUCUGCUAGAGAUUUCAGUUUGGUAGAACUUUCGGUGACCAAAAAUGGUCGAAACUGAGAAGUUAAGAUUUCGUUCUUCUAGUUAAGAAAAAUCGAGCCUGACUGUCAAAUUUAAGCGCAAACGGACAUUCAGAGGGCUUCGGCAAAAAGUAUCAGAUUCUGAAGGACUAAACUGAAAAUUUCAAUAGUUGUUGGGGGGCUAUGUGUGUAACAAAUGCCAUACCCUUUUGUUGUCUUGGUCUGAACCGAGAGAGAGAGAGAGAGCAAGUUUCUUUUCUAUCUUUCUCUCUUUGUCUCUAAAAUUUCUCUACCUCUAAAUAAUCUCUCGACUAAAGAGGAAUUGGAGAAGAAAUUGGAGGAGGAAUUGGAGGUUGAGCUUGGAAUUAGGAAGAGAAGCUUCAUUUUCAUCUUCUUCUUCCUUGACUCAAGAAAAGGAAGCUUGUGAGGUAAGCUUCUUGAGCUUCAAUGGUAGAUUUCUAAAGUUUGAGUUAUAAGCUCUAGAAAUGGGUUUAAUUGAAUCUUAGGAUGCUAAAUGACUGUAAAUUGGAUGAAUCAAGUUCUAAUUUGGAGUAUUCUUGCAAUAGUAAACAUCUAGGGUUCUGAAUGUGGUUUUGUUAUAUAGAUGGGUUUGAUCUAAAUUGGACCCAUGUUAACCUAAUUGCUAGGUAUUCUGAAGCGUUGGCGAAGUCGGUUCGGCGAUCUGUCAAGUCUGCGCAAAGAUAUUGGCAAAAAGGACGUUUUUGGCUUCGUUUUCGCCUGGAGGGCCGAGACGGCGUCCAAAAAUCACGAAAACGGAUUCCUAGCAUCGCGGUAUCAAGUUAUAGACUUUUAAAAUCCAAGGUCGCGAAUUGACGCACGGUUGGUGAUCAUUUGCAAGAUCGGGCCGAACCGGACAACGAAUACUGCGGGAGGCUGAUUGCAAGUGACUACAAGCAAUCGAAAAGGGAUUUGAGGUGGGUUGUGCUCAUCGAAUUGUUUAGCUCGCUUCCAUGUCGAAGCGAUGUGAGAUUUACUAUUGAUGCAUAUAAUGGUAGCUAGUUGUAAAACUUAGGAAUGCAUGGGGUGAAUGCUAUGUUAGGCUAUCAAAGAAUGCAUGUUGACAUAAUAUAAAAUGCUAGAAGGAUGCAUAUCGACAUAAUGUAAGAAUGCUAAAUGAAUGCAUGUUGGUAUGUUAUAGAAAUGUUAGAUGAAUGCAUAUGAUUGAUGCUAGUUGAAUGCAUAAGAUAAAUGGCAUAUGAAUGUUAGCAUUAUGAGAAUUAUACUAGAAGGUAUUUGAAUGUUACCACCAUGGGAAUAUACUAGAAAGAAUGUGCAUGUUGACAUAUUAUGGAUUAUGUUAAAGAUAAUAUGCAUGUUGGCAAGUUGUAGAAUAUGCUUGAUUCAUAUGAGUUGAACAUGGGUCGAUAACUCUAGGGUGAUUAGAGGACUCGACAUUGGAAAACAAGAAUAUGAAAACUGUAAUAUUCGAUAUGGACAAGUAGAAUAUCAAGUAGAUCGAGUGGCAUGUAAAUUAGUGUGGUUGAGACACUUACAAUAUAAUGAUGUAAUCGAGUGGCAUUGAUAUUAGUGUAGUAGAGGCACUAUUAUUUGAACAUAGGGAUAGAUGAGUUCCCGAGUUGAUUGAUAUGUUGCAUGAGAACUUAGUGUGGUAGAGACACUUGUGACAUGAUGACUAUAGGGAUAGGUGGAUUUUCCGAGUCAUUGUUAUCCCUAGUUGACAGGGUAUCCUCAGUAGGCGAGGAUUGGAUCAUACCCACAUAGUCUGUUUUGAGCUUCGGGUGGUCGCUCCACACAAGCAGUACACUACGGAGUUGUCACAUGAGCGGGGUAGCUUACCGGGUGGGACACGAGCGGGGUAGCUCCUCACCUAUGAGACUUGAGAUGUGAGUCGGGGCGAAGGGCGGGGAAGCUCUCCACCUGUGAGACUUGAGAUGUGAGUCGGGGCGAAGGGCGGGGAAGCUCUCCACCUGUGAGAUUAGAGAUGUGAGUCGGGGCGAAGAGCGGGGUAGCUCUUCACCUAUGAGAUUUGAGAUCUGAGUCGGGGCGUAACCUUCGGGCUAGCUAAGUGAUUGGGUGUUAUACAUAUGACCUGUAGUUGAAUCCCAAUUGAGUGGAUUUAAGGCUGAGGUGCAAGUGAGAUGUCCUUCGCCUCGAGCCUGACUUUGCGCUGUAUUCCGCAGAUGAUUGACUCAAGACCGAGUCGGGUGGAUAGCUUUGAAAAGGUCGAUGAAACCUUAUGAGUGGAAUUGUAAUUGACUUGAAUCUAAGAUAGAGGAAACCUUAGAUGUCAAUUGAAUGAGUUAUGGAUAGCAGGAUUGAAAGUAGAAUCAAUCGAUCUACUAGUUGGUUGCAUAGUUGCAUAAACUGCAUGAUUUGCAUUGUUGCACGUUGCGAGGCAUAAACAUGAUGAUUGUUAGUUGCAUAUAUAUAUAUAUAUAUAUCUGUGGAUAUUUGUUGGACUAACAUGUUUGCAGUGCCUCCUUCGGAUCUGUUUGGUCAAGCUUUUCCCUUGGAUGGUUGUACCCACUGAAAACUAUGGACAAUAGUUCUCACCCCCGUGUUGUUUUUGGGGGUACAGGUUAACACGCGAGCGGCGCAGCGUCGCGAGGUCAGGGCGCAGCUCCGUAGAUAGUGCCCUACCACCGAGACCAGAGAUAGCGGUACCCUGAAGUGGUCUAGCUUAGGGGUUUGAAAUGAACUCAAAUGAAUGAAACAAACUUGUAAUGGAUUUAUAAUAACUAGAUUGUAUUUGGAAGGAAAUGUAAAACGAAAAUUGUAAAUGUAUAACCUGGGAUGAAUGCUUGUAAUAGCUUAGUUGUUUUGUAUUUUUGAUACUUCCUUAUGCAAUCUAUACUUGAUUCUGUUUCUGGUUGGAACAUCGUGAAUUGUAUUAAUUGUGACGCCUGGAAUAUACAGGGGAGACUGUCCGUUCGGCGGUCUAUCGGAGUGCCCGAAUCUGACCAAAUAGGCGGGUCUCAGGGCGUGACAAUUAUCCACAAUAUGUCAAUAUGCAUAUUCCAAUGGUAGGUAACAUUAACUAACAUAAUAGGAUUCAUAUUAUCAAUCACAAUCUACGACUAUACAUAUAUGCAUAAAUAAUAAUCAUACUUUACUUUGGCUUCGAAGCAACCUAAUCGCUUCGGUGGAGCACAACCCACUUUUAAUUGAUACCGAAAUGCGAGAAAUUCACUUUCCGCAAUUUAUGAACGAUCGCAAUCCUUUCUCGCGACAAACGAAGCUAAAAUGAGGUUUUUCCUCAUUAGCUUGUCGUAGGCUCGUCGGAACGUCGAUCCGAGCUUUUCAACGCGUCAGUUUUACCCUCAAUUAGGUUUCCACGUGAUCAAUCCCAAGCUAGAGCUUCAAUCCAACAAUUUAGUAUUUUCAAGUUAGAGCUUUAAACAACCUGCUACUAUACAAACUUCAACUUAAUACAACCUGUUUCUAUACAGGUUCUAUAAGAAUCUAUAUAGAAAUCUCAGCUUUAACCAUUCAAGAAUCUCAAAACCAAUUCCCUUAAGGUAUUUAUAUCAAGCCUUAACCAGGAAUAACAACUUACUCACCAUGCUCCCAACUGCCAGGUUCAUAUACAUGAUACAUAUAGGCCUAUUCUAGGCUUUUCAUGUUAAAAACAGCACUAGCAACCCAAGAAAACCCAAGUUAAACCCUUUCUAGGUGAUUAAAAUGAUCUUUAAUCAGGAAUUACCUCAACCCUACAUCAGUUUAAAACUCCAACAGCUUAUUUAUUUCCCAGCUGCAAACAAUCACACAUAACAUAAUACAUAGCUCUCUCUAAGUUUCACAUAGCAAUUUCAGUUUUAGAAACCUAAAAUUUCAUUGUCUACUCCUCCUUUAGGUUAAAUACCAUGAACCAUAACCAGGAAAUAUGUCUCUCCUACCUCAGGUUUCAUCCCAACAAAUAAUUCACAUGUAUAUAUAUCUAUAUAUAUGUUGUCAACACACAAUUCUUUAGGAUUUUUCUAAUAGAAGUUCUAAUACCCCAAAAUCUGUAGCUUAAUCUCUUUUAGAGCAAUAACCUAACUCUAAUAUGAAAUUAGAUCAAACCUACCUCAACUUGGAAGCUCCCACAAGCUGCUCUCAACUCCUGGACCGUCCUCUCAGCUCAAACCAUCAAGAAAACCCAACUCCACACGAACCCUUUUCACUAACUUCAGCCACCUUAGGCUUGUAGAAAGAAAAGAAGAAAAAAAAUGAAAAGAGGAUGAAGUGGAGAGGAGAGAGGAGAUUUAGUACAUAGCAGCUACUGGGGUAAGCUGCGGUUCAGAUAAGAUCAGCUAAUUUCUCAUAACACCCCUCACAAAAGCUGGGUUCAACUCUUUCACAUUUUGAUUCGUGCAGUUUUCUGCACCUGGCAGCAGCUGGAAGCAGCAACAAUUGCCCUCAAAUCCUCACACAAAGUUGAAAUUCUGUUUUACAGAUUAGUCCCUGUGGUUUCCUUGCAUUUGGCAGCAGCCGGCAACAGCAGCAAUUGCUCUUAAACCGCCUACAAAGCAGAAAUUCUGCUUUUACAAAACAGUCCCUGCAGUUUUUAGAAAACAGUCCCUGCAGCCUCUUUUUGGCACUAGACAGCAGCAGCUGGCAGCAGCAGUAGUUGUAGCAGCAGCUGCAAUUAGCAGUAGCAGCAGCACUCAGCAGUAGCAGCAAUUGCACUUAAACCCCCCCAAAAGCAGAAAUUCUGCUUUUACAAUUUAGUCCCUGUAGCUUUUUAGUACAGAAACUGCACUAGGCAGCACUUCCAAGUCAUUUUCUCGCGUAAACUUCGUUCUAACACCUCUAAACACUUCUAAAUUUGCCACUUAACUAUCCCCACAUCUCCAAAAUGAUUUGGAGAUACCAUAAAUUAUCCUCAUUGUUCACUUUGAUACAUCCAAUCAAAGUUAGCGUCGUAAGCCGGAGAUUCAUUUUCGAGUUCGUUUCGCGCCCAAUAUGCACCGAAACAUUCAAUCACUUCCCAAAAUCAUUCCCACACCUCUAAAAUUAUUCGGGAACGAUGUACAUCCAGCUCAAGCUUCAUUUUGAUCCCCCAGAUCAAAGUUAGCAUUACAACCCAAAAUUUUCGGUACAUUACAACGUGAGCUUUGGUUGUUAGACCAGUUAAACCCUUUUGCAUUGACUACAGCCUGUAAGAGCCUGAUUGGGCUUGGCAGAGACACGCUUACAUACUCGGUUGGAUCGCGCCGACGAGUGCCGCUUCGGAGUGAGGCUUUGACUUGCGUUGAUGUCGCAGCCAUCCUGUUUGGACCAUGUUCUUGGAUCGACCAUCCCCGUGGGUGGUGUACGGUGUAGAAGGAAAAUGAGGAGGAUGAAAAAUGGUGUAAAUUUUGCCCAAAAUUGCACCAUUUCGCCCAAAAUUGCACCAUUUCGCUCAAUUUUGCACAAUUUCAUCCAAUUUUGCACCAUUUCGCCCAAAAUUGUACAAUUUCUCCUUCUCCUCCUCUUCCUCUUCCUUCUUCCUUUUUACACCAUUACACCAUUUUCUACACCUUAGAAAUUGCAUUCUUUGGACAAUCUCAUCUCCCUCAUCGGAGAGUAGGACUCGGACGACGAUCUUGAGGGCAUGGAUCUACUUCUUCAUCUUGGAGUCGAGGGUGCCCCACUCAGUCCUCUGGACCUCCUCGAUGCUCAUCUUGUCGACACUGAGGGCGGCGAGGGUGUCCGCGACGGACGGCGUCGCGGCGGACGGCGUCGCGGCAGACGGCGAUGUACAUCUAGCUCAGCUCCUGGCCAUACCCGGUGCGGAUCAUGCGGCUGGCGAUCUCCGCGAGGUCAUUGACGGCGUUGGCGUAGAGGAGGUCGGAGGAAAAGUGGUUGGCGAAGAGGAUCCCCGGCCUCCUUCUCUGCCGCUGCCGUCGCAGGAGUCCUCAAGAUUGGCGCCGUGGGGGUGGGGGUCGGAUCUGAAGGAGGAGGUGAGGGCGUCGUCGUGGGAGAGGGAGAGGCGGCGGAAGGAGGAGGUGGGUUCCUCGAAGGUGGAGGAGGCGAUAGGGAGGGUGCUGCGGAGGAGGUGGCGGAACAAAAAAAUAACGAAGGAAAAAAAAAGAGAGAGAAAAAAAGAAGAGAGAGAAAGAAAAGGAAUAAGGGUAUUUUCAUCCGAUGUAAAAACUUCGGUCCGAAUUUGCAAAAUUAGAAAAGGUGGCUUAGUUUUGCAAAAAGUCAAAACUUGUGGAUUUUUUUUUAUGCAAAUGAACAUUUCAUAGUAAUAAUAAUAGAGAAAAAACUGACCGUACCUAGAGCAAGUGACAAAGGGCUUGGUGGUUGGUACCCGAGACCUAAGUUCGAAUCCUAGUUGAUUCAUAUUUCUAGCUAAGUUUAUUUCUAAAUAAAAUAAACGAAGCGGAUAACGUGCUACCUAUCUCUUAAAAAAAACAAAAAAAAAGGAAAAAAGAAAAAAUAGAUCCGAGCAGCGUAAAAAUUUAAUCUAUUUGCUGUGCCCUCGCAUUACUUCAUCUUUCCCCAUUCUCGCUGCCCAAUCCUUAUUUUUCAACCCACUCUCCCCUUCUCUUUUGCCCUAGGUUUCCCAAAUCUUCCGGUCUCUUCUCCUUUCCCUUUCCUUGUCUUCUUCUUCACGGGCUGCCUCUGUGAUCCAAGAGGACAUCCUCACCCAUGGCGGCGUCUCUCCGGGCAAGAAGCUCCCGCCGCUACAACACGAGGCGCCGAGCGGCUGCUGGUGCCGUCGCCGCCGUGUCCGACGCUGCCGCCGCCACUGCUGCCUCCGCUGGCGCCGCGACCGUAAAUGAUUUUUUUUCUUCUUUAUCCUUUUCAUUCAACCAUUAAUGCAACCGUAAAUGAUUUUUUUUUUUUAUUUUGCAUUUAGAUGGUGUCUGAUCAUAUUUUGAUUCUUAUGUCUCUAUGUCUUGGUGGAUUUAAUUUUAUCUUAUGUAAAAGUAAAAAUAGAGUAAUCUUUUAGAAGAUAAACCAAACGCUUAAAACAGUAUAAUUUUUUUAUAUGAUAUAGAGUUUUUCAGAAUAUCAAAUACAAUGUAAAAUAAAGCUCUAUUUUAUUUUUCAGUAGUUGCCAUCAUAGUUAGUUAAUUCGCGAAUUAUUCGCGAAUUUUUGAAAUGCCGAAUAAAACUUCCGUUUUCGUAUUUUUUUCCAAAAAUUCGGAAAAAUUCGCAUUUUUUUUUUUUGGGUAAAAAGAAUUAUUCGCGAAUUAAACGGAAUUCGCGAAUAAUUCGGCCCAAAAAACCGGCCCAGAACCCGUUUUGCCUCGCCCAAAACCCGCUUUGCCUCACGAGUCACGGCCCUCACCCUGUCGCCCAAAAGGCCAAAAAAAAAAAAAAAAACUUUCUGAAAUCUGAAGUGAAAAGAUCGCCCCCCUCCCACCACGAGUCCCACACCCCUCCCAAAAAAAGGGUUUGCCCUAACUUCUCACCCCUGCGGCGGUGCGGCGCGCGGCCCUGCCACCGACCCUGCGGCGGUCGCGGUCCCUUCCCCUCCCCCUCUUCCCUUCCGGCCGCUCGCCGAACGCCAUCGGAAGCCCUCCUCUUCAGAAAUCGAAGAUCGAAGAUCGGGUUCUUCACUCUUCAGAAAUCGAAACCCUCCUCGUCGCCUCUUCCUCUUCCGCUUCCGCUUCCGCUUCCGCUAUCCAACGAUAGAUCAGUAAUCGGGUGGUUCUUUACAAACCAGGUACGAUUUGAAGUUUCAUUCUUCAAAGCAAAAGUUGGGAGCUUUUAGUCCUGAUGGAUACUUUUUUAUACACAAAUGUCUCGAGUGCUUAAUUGAAUUGAAUGUGUCUAUUCCAUAGUUAGUUAAUUCGGAUUCGCAUUUUGAUAUAGUCGAGGAUUAAAUCAUCAUUUUCUAGUUUAUUUGUACAGAUUCGCAUAUUGAUUUUAAAUUUUUAUUUUGGGCAAUAACUUAAUCUCGAGUGCUUAAUUGAAUGUGUCCAUUCUCUGUUAUGCACAAAGAAGACCCAAACAUAGAGCUAAAUAAUCUUAAUUAACUUAGGGACCAGGAACUCUUCUAUUAUACCUAAUCAAUUUCAUUAUCUUGUACUGUCGACACUUGCAAAAGGAAAAUUUUGUUGUGGUCUUUCAUGGACCAUUGACUCAGUGGGGUUUCUACUUAAUUUUUGAAACAUAACUUUUUAGUAUUAGAAAUGCAGCAAUUUAAAUAUGGACUAUCUUGAUCUCUAUUUGCUUAAUUAUUUCUAUAUUUUGAGGCUUAAUAUAGUAUACUAUUUUUUUUACUUACUUAGUUCAAUUUUGUAGCUCUUUAUUCUUAUAUUCUUAAAAAAUAUGAAUAUUUAUGCUAAUAGCAGAAAUCUUGAGAGAAAAAAAAACUUAAUUUAAUAGCCGAAUUUUUGAUCCCGAAUUUUUAAUUAGUGAAUGUAUAAUAUCCGUAUAAAUCACGUAUCCGAAUAAUUGGCGAAUCCCUUUUUUAGCCUUUUUUUCAACGAAUUUAAAAAUUAGAAGACGAAUUUUAUCCGAAUUAUACCCGUACCGAAUUUUUGCCGAAUCCGAAUUAACUAACUAUGGUUGCCAUACAGGCCCUGUCUGUAGAGAAACUUGUGUAGAUUUGAACCGGUUUGAAAGAAAACUAGUGUCUGGUAGAAUCAAUUCCCGGAGCGGUUCUGAUCCAUCCUGUUAACCUUGGCUGAUGGGUUCACUGCUGUGCCUAAACGACGGUUGAAUUUUAGCGAACAAAACCUCACAACCUGACAUAUCGAAACCUUUUUGCAGUGGCGGCGUUUUAGACUCUUAAUAUUAAGGGAUGGCGAUUUAUGGAGGGUUUGGUGGCGGGACGUGCGGAGCGGCCAUUCGCCUUCUUGAACCGGUAAGUUCUCUGCUUUGCUCUCUCUCUCUCUCUCUCUCUCUCUCUCUCUCUCUCUCUGAAUCGUAACUCGUACGGUGGUCUAGCAAAUUAUGAAUGUGACUUGACUGUGAUUGCCACCGUGUGGCGAUUGUUUUAGUUUUAUCUAAUUAACCUAGGAGGCUUCUUAGAUUCUAUGUCAAAUGUGUCUCUUCCUUGAACAUGAUGAGAAGAAGGAAACAUUUGUUUUUCGUCAACACCAAGGAAGGUUAUGGUCGUUAUUGUGAAAUUGUACGUCUAAACUCGUCAGUCCUUUUAUGGAAGAUAGUGUGGUAUUGUGUUAGUUUAGCUUAUUCUGGAUAUUAGUACAGGAAAUAGUUGAUUAUUACGUGUCAAUCAAGGUUUUCUGGAAUAGGUACAUUUCAAUUAGUCGGUCUCUCAUGUUAGAGUUUGUAUUUUGAUGGGAAAAUGAUGCCGAGCCUAUCAUAUAUGGUGUCUUUAGUUAUAUACUUGUUUUCUGCUGCUUAAGAAUGCAACAAAUGAUUAUUUGUAAUAGUGCCAAUAGUUUGAAAAGUCCUACAAGAUACCUUGUGAUAUAUCUCGAUGCUUUGCAAACUGUACCUAUGCAGUUGUUUUGAGUGACAUAGAUUGUAAAGUAAUUUUCCCGCUCUAAAUAACUAAGAUAGUUUGUUCUUAUAUUGGAAAUGAUCUGAAAUGCAUUAAAAAGAUGGCCUAAAAGUUUGUAGUUGGUCCUUCAGAUUGCUUGUCGUCAGAUCACAAACUUUGUGGUUUUUAGAUAUGUAAUCAUGCAUUGAUAGGGAAUAACACAAUAGAUUAUUUUUAUUUACAUAAAUGUUGAAAUGUGCGUAUGUAGGUUGGUUGUUAUAGUGGGUUUCAAAUUUGUAAAUUUUGCAUAUCUAGGAUGCCACUGUUUGAAAUGCUAAAAUGUUCUAAUAUAACAUUAUAGUGUUUGUUGUUUUUACACGACAAGUUAUCGAGGAUGAGUAAAAGGUAAGCACAAAGAUAUCAUGCCUAUGACCUCCAUAGAAUAUUACUUUUCCUAGAUAUUGUUUGGAUACUCACUUAAACCCUUGAAUUGAUUUCUUUUUUCCUUUGAAAAGCCAAAACAAUAUUUGAAUAUUGUCAGUGCUUAUUAUUUUGCUAAUAGAUUUCUCCUAUCUGCUUUGUCAUGAUACUUCCAAAUUAUGCAUGACCACUGCUUAAAAAAGCCCAAGGCGCUCCUAGGCGCAAAGGGCUGUUGGAGCCUAGGCGCAAGGCGAAAGGCGCAGGCGCGCGCCCGAGAGAGGUCAAGCUCACACUUUCAUAGAAUUUUGAAAUAAGUAAAGAACCAAGAAGUGUCUUACUAUACUUUCUAAUAAUUAUUAAGUAGCACUAAAUAUACUCUAUAAAAUCAUAUUAUCACAAUAAAUAUUCUAUAAUUACCCAAAUAAUUACGUUUCCAAAAGGAAAAAAAUUAAGAAAAGAAAACAAGCCAAACAACAUAUAUGAUAAUUUUGAAAAAGAAAAUAACAUAGAUAAAAGUAAAGAACAAAUUACCUUUUUUAUCUCCAAAUAAAGGCCAACAUAAAGGUAACUAUUAAUUCACAAACAUAUAGGAAAUUUUGAUGUGAAAAUCAUAUAAUUAUAAGCACAAGAUCAUAAAAAGUAAUAUGCAUAAAAGUUUAAAGUUUCAAGCCAAAAAUCAUUAAAAAAGCAUCAUAAUCAUCUGAAAGCAGUGAUUAAAAAAGCGCGCCUUAAUAUAGAGGGAGAGGCGAGUUGAGUUGAAGAAGCAGAGAGGGAUAGCCGGAGGCAAUCGGAGGUGAUGGACGAGUGGCAGAGAGGAUCGGUCCGAGCGGAGAGAGGGAGAGGGAGCAGACUCAGCGAGAGGAGAGGGAGCAGACUCGGCGAGAGAGAGAUGGAGCGGAUAGAUGUUUAGGGUUUAGAACUUUAGAUUAGAUUGGUUUUGGGUUUAUUUUACAUGUUUUAAACCCAUUAGACCAAUAAAUAUAGGAUCCAAACCCAUUAAAGCAUAUAUUUUUAGAUCCAAACUCGGUAGUAUCAAAUAUAUAUUAAGUGCGCCUUUCUUGCGCCUUGCGCCUUGCGCCUUGCCCUAGGCGUGCGCCUAGGCAGCCCAGGCGCACACCUAGAGCUAGGUGCAAGGUGCGCUCAAGGCGUGCCUUCUUCAUAUUUGUCAUAAUGGGUUUGGAUCUAGGGGCUGCCUAGGCGCUGGCCAGUGAGCCUAGCGCCUAGGCGCCUAGGUGCGCGCCUAAGGCGUGCUUUUUUAAUCACUGUGCACGACUAUCUGCUUUAUGUUGUAAUGAAGGUACGAAUUGACUUGGUUAUUGAGUAAUAUUGUUUCAUUGCUUAAUUGUGAAUAGGUGGGGCUGCCGCUUUUGCUAAGCCCACUUGGUUCUAAUAUCGUAAUUCGAACAGCUUGGUGAGUUUCAUAUCCUCUUUAGGUUUACUUUUAGAUGAUGAAACAUUUUUGAAAUGCUUACUUUGUUUGGUAUAUUCACUAAGGACUAUGAUUUUUGGCAAACACAACUAGUUAUAGCUUCCUAGAUAUUGCAUCUUGUCUCCUUAAUUCUUUUUCUAUAAAGUAUGAAAUUGGUGAGGUUGUGUCAAACUUGUUGUUCUAUGUCUUUAUUUGGCUAUAUCUAUGUGGUGCAGUUGCACUGUGGGGAUUGCUUUGCCUGUAUACUCAACUUUCAAAGCUAUAGAGAAGAAAGAUCAGAAUGAACAGGAAAAAUGGCUUUUGUAUUGGGCAGGUUGGUAGUGUAAUAUAUGCCAUGGGUUUUUUUUUACUAUAAAUGCAUAAAACACUACCAUUUUCAACUUUCUCUGUUUUAUUUGUUUGAUUGGAUUUUUUUUUUUAAAGUUUUUUAAAUGUAAUGCCUUUGGUGUAGUUCAAAAAAUAAUAACUCAAUUAAAAACCUAUAUUGUUUUGAAAGUUAAACAUUCUGAUGUGAUACUGAUAAUAACUGAAAAGAAAAUUAAUCAAAUUGGAACGAGAACUUGUGUUGUGCUUGGAGCCCUUGGAAUUUCUUUUAUCUUCAAAAGUUGUGCCAAGAUAUAAUAAUUUUGAAGUUGUAAUGAGUUAUGGUUCAGUUCAAAUCAAUUCCAAUCCAAAACCACCAUCAACCAAUCUAUAGAUUUGAAAGAACAGCAGCACAAGGCAGCAACAAAUAAACAACAACAAGGGGAGGGUUGCAUAACAGAAGAAUACUGAUGUAGUGCAUCACAAGAAAGAAAUGAAAGGUGAAAAGUCAUUCUCGGGUUAACCCAGUUAGCCUAUGCAUUGUUCAAUGUUUUUGUCAUAACUUCGACCUAGUUAGCCUAUGCAUUGUUCAAUGUUUUUUUGUCAUAACUUCCUCUAGAAUUAUCCAAAUUGCACUUUGUUUGAUGCUUUGGAAACUAGACUUGAAGCACUUUUCAAUGAUACAAAAUUCCAAGGAGUUAGGGCCCGUUUGACCUAGAUUUUGAAAAGUGAUUUCUACAGAAUUGAUUUUGGUUUGAAGAAUUGAUUUUGGUUAAAAGCUGUAGCGAUUGGUUGAGUUUUGGAUCGAAAACGAUUUUUCUGAAGUGAUUUUGGAAUGCUGUUUGGCGAAGUAUUUCUGCUGUUUGUAAAUAAUAAAUUUUUUUUACUAAAUCUUAUUUUAAAAUUAUUUAAAAUUUGAAUUUAAAUUUUAAAAUUUAAAUUUAAAUUAUAAAUUUGCACACAAUUUAAUUUGAUAUUUUAAUUUAAAAUAUAAAUUUGAAAAGUUAAAAUUAAAAAUUAAAAAUUAAAAUUUUAAAUUUUAAAUUUCAAAAGAUUAGAUUUGAAAUUUGAAAUUUGAAAUUUCAAAUUUAAAAUUUUUAAUUUAAAUGAAUAUUUAAAAUUUAAAACUUGAAAUUUUAAAUACUAAUGUUUACAAUUUAAAAUUUAAAAUUUAAAAUUGAAAUUAAAAAAUUUAGAUUUUGAAUUUUAAAAAAUUAAAAUCCAUUAUUUGAAAAUUAAAACUUACAAUUUUAAAAUAUAAAUAUAAAAUUUAAACUUUAAGAUUUAAAACUCUAGAUUUGAAAUUUGAAAAUUUCAAAAUUUAAAUUUUAUGUUAAAUUUUAAAUUUCACAAAUUUAAAUUUUAUGUUAAAAUUUAAUUUCACAAAUUUAAAAUUUUGAAUUUUUAAAUUUAAAAUUUGAAAUUUAAAAGUUUAAAAUUGAAAAUUAAUAAUUCAAAUGUGAAAUUUAAAAUUUAAAAUUAAAGCUUGAUUUAAAUUUUAAUUUUGAAUCUAAAUUUAAAAUAAAAUUUAAAAUUUUUCCAAAAUUAGAAUCAGAUUUCAAGAAGUAGGUUUGGCUACUAAUUUUGGCCUCGAAAAUAAAAAAACUGAUUCGAAAAAUCAGAAUCAGAUUUUGAAAACUAGGUUGCCAAACGCUUUAUUAAACCAAAAAUCACUUUUGGGCCCAAAAUCUCUUUUCAAAAUCUAGGCCAAACAUCUACUUAGUUUACAAUCUUGUGCAGAUUUAGGAUGGGAAACAAAGCGACUUUCUAGUUUUUUUUGUGGUUCUCCUGCUUUGUAACUAGCAACUAGUGUUUUGAAUGUUUAUGGAGUCUAAGGGUUGGGUUCAUCAGUCAAGAAGUUCAUAAUUAGCAACUAACAUUAAGAGAUCUACAUAAUUAGCAACUAACAUUAAGCAACUAACAUUAAGAGAUCUAUAAAAGGGGUCUAUAGCAUCGGCUUGAGUCAGUUUGGUCUUGAAUUAUCUUUGAUUAAUGAAUUGAUAGUGAGUUUGUUGACUUCAACUUUGUCUAGCUUUGCUUUGUUGUGCUUUAAGUUUCUUCUUCCCUUUCUCUAUCGUCCACCCUCAUCAUCUGGUAUUAGAGAUUGAGUGAGGUUAUUAGAUGAGUUCUUGUCUCAUGGCGACAGAAGGAGGAUGGGGAAGGCAUGGAGAUCUGAUGAUGGGCAGUAUAAGAGAUGAUAAAGGUGAAAAAAUUCGAGUUCUUUGAAGGCAAGUUGAGUAGCUUACUGUGCGCUUUGAACGACAGGAGGCUCAUAGCUCUAAAACAUCAAGCUAUGGGUAUUCCAAUGAUGAAGACGAAGAUGUGAAUCCAUUUGCCAGCUGGCAGGUUCGGGAGGAGACAAUUAAGGAGAGUUUUCUCCAUACAUUUGAUACCAUCAAGGUUGGUUUCUUGGAAUUCGAUUAUCGUCUUUGGCCCGAAGAGUUUCUUGACUGGCUUUGUGCUGUUGAGAAAUUCUUUAAAUGUAGGGAUGUCGUUGAGUACUACAAGAUAAAAGCUAGUGGUCACUGACUUUGUGGCUGUGCUUCGACUUGGUGGGACAAGGUCGAAGAAUUGUGACUUCGCAAAGGCAAGUAGGGGUGAAAACAGAUCGGAUACGGUCUGAUAUUGGACAGAACCAUAUCCGCAUCCAUAUUUUUUUAUUCGGGUGUGAAUUUCCUUUUGGAUAUUUGUCAGAUGCUAAAUUUUCGUUACCUUAUCCGCUAAAAAUGGAUUCAGAUAUAGUCAGAUACUUUUUCGAAUUUGGAUAUGGAUUGGAUUUGGAUUUGGAUAUGGAUAUUAUUCGGAUAAUAAUAUAUACUAGUACGUACAUAUAAAUAUGAACUAGAGUAAUUGCCAAUACAACUUAAGUUUCACACUUAUGUUUAAAUUUUUAUGUACCUAUAUUUUAUUGAAUAAAAUCUAAGAUAUAAUAAAUAUAAAUGCCAUAAUAUAAAAUUCAUAAUAACAUAAACAAAGAACAUAAAAAAAAUCACCUUAUUUUCCCAUAAUAUAUAUAUAUAUAUAUGUAUGUAUGUAUAUAUAUGUAUGUAUGUAUAUAUAUAUAUGUAUGUAUGUAUAUAUAUAUAUAUAUAUAUAUAUGUAUGUAUAUAUAUAUGUAUAUAUAUAUAUGUAUAUAUAUACAUACAUAUAUAUACAUACAUAUAUAUAUAUAUAUAUAUAUAUACAUAUAUAUAUAUAUAUAUAUAUAUAUAUAUAUAUAUAUGAGUAGGUCUUGUGUGCUGCUAUUAGGAGCACGGAGGCCUCGGUGCUCCUAAGCUGUUUUCGAUGAUGGAUCUUUCAAAUCGACGGUCGGCUCCGUUAGACUUGAUCUAGCGUAUUUGAAGUAUCUAGAAAAUAAAUUUUGCGAUUUUUCGAUAUUAUUUGCCUAGCGAUCGAAAGGGUUCAAAAUCAACGGCUGGAAAUAAAAAUCUCACAAAAAGUGGUGAUAUAGUACUAAAAUUUUCGAUCAGAGACAUUGAUCUUGCUGUAAAUAGUAUAAAGAAUUUUCUAGCAAAAUUUCAUAUGAUUUGAAUACUUAUACACCGUUAAACUUGCAAACGGUAUACAUCAACCAUUAAAAAUUAUUUAUUUUAAACCCUUUCGAUCGCUAGGUAAAUGAUGUCAAAAAAUCGUAAAAUUUAUUUUCGAGAUAUUUCAAAUACGCUAGAUCAAGUCUAACGGAAUCGAUCGUCGAUUCGAAAACUCCAUCAUCGAAAACGGCUUAGGAGCACGGAGGCCUCCGUGCUCCUAAUAGCACACAAGACCUACUAUAUAUAUAUAUAUAUAUAUAUAUAGAGAGAGAGAGAGAGAGAGAGAGAGAGAGAGAGAGAGAGAGAGAGAGAGAGAGAGAGAGAGCGAGCGAGCUAGGCUGGUAUACUAUCGGUAGCACGGAGGCCUCCGUACUAGCAAGUUGUUUUCAAUGAUGCGGCUUCCAAAUCGACGAUCGGCUCCGUUAGACUUGAUCUACACUAUUGAAAGUAUUUGGAAACUAAAUUUCAUAAUUUUUCAGCAUCAUUUACCUAUAAAACGAGUAGUCUGAAAAUGAACGGUUGAAAAUAAAAAUCUCAUAAAAAAUAAUAAUAAAAGACUUGAAUUUAAGAUCAGAGGUACUGAUCUUACUCUAAAUAGUGAAAAAAAUUUUCUAUAAAAAUUUCAUUAGAUUUAAAUUGUUUUACACCGUUAAAUUCACAAACCCAUCACAUCUACCAUUAAAAUUGUCAAUUUUGAGACCUUUUGAUCACUAGGUAAAUGAUACCGAAAAAUUAUGAAAUUUAGUUUCCAAAUAUUUUCAAUGGUGUAGAUCAAAUCUAACGGAGCCGAUCGUCGAUUUGGAAGCCGCAUCAUUGAAAACAACUUGGUAGCACGGAGGCCUCCGUGCUACCGAUAGUAUACCAGCCUAGAUCUAUAUAUAUCUGUUAGAUUUGAUCUACACUAUUGAAAGUAUUUGAAAACUAAAUUUCAUAAUUUUUCGGUAUCAUUUACCUAUCAAACGAGUAGUCUAAAAAUGAACGGCUGAAAAUAAAAAUCUCAUAUAAAAUGAUGAUAAAAUAUUUGAAUUUAAGAUCAGAGGUACUGAUCUUACUCUAAAUAAUGAAAAUAAUUUUCUAUAAAAAUUUCAUCAGAUAUGGAUUGUUUUACAUUGUUAAAUUCACAAACGCAUCACAUCUACCAUUAAAAUUGUCAAUUUUGAGACCUUUUGAUCACUAGCCAAAUGAUAUCGAAAAAUUAUGAAAUUUAGUUUCCAAAUACUUUUAAUAGUGUAAAUCAAGUCUAACGGAGCUGAUCGUCGAUUUGGAAGCCGCAUUAUUGAAAACAACUUGGUAGCACGGAGGCCUCCGUGCUACUGAUAGUAUACCAGCUUAGCUCUCUAUAUAUAUAUAUAUUAUCAUCCCAUACAUAUUAAUGUAAAUGUAAAUAUGUAAUAGUACUAAAAAAUCUAGAUGUCCAUAUUCGUAUCCUUUUUUUGUGGACAUCUUUGACUCUCUAAAACCAUAUCCAUAUCCAUAUCCAUAUCCAACCUGAUCCAAAUAUUUUCAAUCCAGAUAUGGAUAAUAUUGAAUAUGGAUGCGAAUAUUUUCAGAUAAUAUCUAAUCUGUUUUCACCUCUAAAGGCAAGCCUAAGAUCUCUUCUUGGGAAAAGAAAAGCUCCAAGCUUUGAGAGCAUUUUCUACUUGCGAAUUUUGCUCAAAACAUGUUUUUGCAAUUCAAGAACCUUCAAAAAGUAGAAGUGUUAUCGAGUACACUGAACAAUUUUACCAAUUGAUGGCUCGCAAUGACAUUCAAGAGACGAAGGAGCAACUUUUUGCAAGGGGUGGUAUAAAAGUAUCAAUUCGUGACGAAGUAGAAUUACAAACAAUGAAUAUGCAGGUUACAUGAUGCUUUUCAACUUGCUCUUAAAUUGAAGCAAAAUUAACUAAAAGUGGUUAAGAAAAGUUGUUGAUGUGUGCAGUCUUUAUCCACCUACAAAGGAUGAGUCCUCACAUAUGAUGUUGGUGCUACAAAAUUUGGUGGUCCUGCGAAGACCACGACCAAUCAUGGAGGAUAGUCAAGUCACACCAAACAAUCUUCCACUUGUUUUAGUUAAGUAAGGUGGUCGCUAUGCUCGUGAAUGUCUGUUGAGGCGAGUGGACGUUAGCAUAAUAAUUGUUGAUGUAGAGUGCAAUGAAGAAAUAUUACUUGUUUUUAGUUAAGUAAGGUGGUCGCUAUGCUCGUGAAUGUCUGUUGAGGCGAGUGGACGUUAGCAUAAUAUUUGUUGAUGUAGAGUGCAAUGAAGAAAAAUUGAGAUUUUUUAGAAGAACCAAGAUGUCACGCCCCGCGACCGCCCGCCUAUUUGGCCGGGUCGCGGCGCCGCGAACAGACCGCCGAACGGACAGAGUUUUUCCUGUAUGUCCUAGGCGUCGCAACCUGUACAAUACAAGGGUUCUAACUAGGAACUGAUCUCAAUCAAGAUUGCAUAAGGAAGUAUCAAUAACAAAAAACUAACUGCUAUUACAAGCAUUCAUUUCAUACACUUUAUACAUCACACCUUUUCUUUUACAUGUGUUUAACUUCCAAAUACAAUCACAUUAUUUACAUUUAAUACACGUUGGUUGUUGUCAUCCCAUUCUAACCCCUAAGCCCUGCUGACUCGGGGUACUACUAUCUCAGUCUCUGGGGUAGGGCGCUAUCUACGAAGCUACGUCCUUGCCUCGCGCCGCCGCGCCGCUCACGUGUGUACCUGAAACACCCCAAAACAACGUGGGGUGAGAACCAACUCUAUGAUUCUUAGUGGGUACGACCACCCAAGGGAAAAGCUCGACCAAUAGGUCCGAGGAGGCACUGCAACAUGUUAGUUCAACAAUAUACAACAAAUAUAUAUUCAAAUUGAAAUACAUGCCAUGCCUCACAAUAUGCGAUAUGAAAAUCAUGCAACUAUAGUAGAUCAAUUGAUUCUACAUUUACUUGGCUAAUUUUAGCUCAUAACAUUCAACUCUAAGGUUUCUAUUACCUUAGGAUCACACUCAAGUCCACUGGCUUCUAAGGUCUCUAUUACCUUAGCUCUAGCCUCUAUCACUAGCUUAUAAGGGUUCCACUACCCUAUCGAAGCUAUCCACCCGACUCGGCCUCGAGUCAAUCAUCCGCGGAUAUUCCGCACACUGGCUGCUCAACAGCCUACCGCUCUCCGUGACUUAGCUCUUAGCGCUGAAAUCGUUGCACACGAUGAACCCGGCUCAAGUCCCUUAACAUAGCCAUUCUGGCGGCGAACAUGUUGCACUUACCUAGCGAGGACUCAAGUCAUGAUCUAUCCAUCUGGCGGCGAACUAAUCGCACCUCACCCAACAAUGGUUUCAGUCACGACUCAGCCACCUGGCGGCACCCGUAUCGUACUUACCCAGCAAUGGUUUCAGUCAAUCCCGGCGGUCUGAUCCACAAUUGGCUUAACUAUCCGGCGGCGAAAUCGUCGCCCACGCCACGACAAUGGUUCAAGCCUCGGGCGGUAAGCCCCAUGUGCUCGCCCCCGAUCCUCCCUAGGUAUCAACCUCGGCGGCGAAAUCGUCGCACACGCCCUAGCCUUGAUACCAGGGUCAUCACAAGUUUUGGGAUUCCGGAAUCCGCUUCCACAGGUCGAGGGUCCAUAACCAACCCUAUGCUGUCGACCUAGAACAUCCUUGUCGUCGCUACCACUAUGCUCAACAACCUAGGUUCAAUGUCACUCUAGGUUUAUUACAUACGUAGCUUAGGUUCCAAUACUCUAGGUUCUAUAUCACCUCUACCUAGAUGUCAACUUCUAGGUUCACUUGUUCGAUCUAUGUUUACUAACACUAGGUUCGAUGCCAUACACACCUAGAUUUGUUCGACUCUAGGUUCACUUGAUCAACCUAUGUUCUUUAACACUAGGUUAGGUGCCACUCGAUCUACUUGACAUCCUAGUUGUCCAAUAGAGUAUCUAAUUGUCCUCUAUCCGGUUCUCUUGUCAAUCAACUCUAUUAAUUCUAGAGUUAUCAACCUAGUUUACGUGCAUAUCCUCACAACGCUAAUCAUGCGUUCUAUGAUCUCUAUAUCAUUUUAUAUGCAUCUACUUAGCAUUUUACCACAUGCAUCAUCUAUGUCAUUUUAUUAACAUGCAUCAAUAUGAAUUCAUUUUACUUAGACAUACAGGCGACCUAGUCGCUUCGGUAAGUACAACCCACCUUAGUUUGCUUUCCGAUUGCUUGUCGACACUUGCAAUCGGCCUCCCGCGGUACUCGACAUCCGGUUUGGCCCGAUCUCGCAGUUGCGCUCCAACCGCGCGCUGCUUUGCAGUUCCGAGAAUUAAAGGUCUUCGCUUUGUUGUUACAGUGCUCGGGACCCAAUCUCGCGAUUUAUGGACGUCGCCUCGGCCCUCCAGGCGAUAACAAAGCCGAAAACCCUUAUUUCGGCAAUAUCUUCUCGUAGGCUCGUCGGAUCGUUGAACCGACUUCGCCAACGCGUUUCGUUACCUAUCAAUUAGGUUUACAGAGGGUCAAAUGAGAUCAAACCCUCACAAAUACCAACACUCCAUUUUGGGUGCCCUAGAUGCUACUAUAGCCAAAUCCACCAAAUCGAUCUAUGAAAUGAGGGGAAUCUAUCUAGAUAGCAUGCUAGGGUUCCAAAUAAACUAAUUUUAGAGAUAAAAAAUCCAUCUCUAAUGAUCUACCAUGAGAGGGCUUGGAAGCUUACCUCUCCAAGAAGCCUCAACCAAGGAGAAGAUGAAGAGGAGGAGGAAGAUCUCCUUCUUAGUCCUCUUCUUCUUCUUCUUCUUCUCUUCUUUUUCCUCCCUUCUAUUCUUCUUCUCUUUCUUCCUCUUCUUCAUGCACAGAGAGAGGGAGCGGCUGAGGGAGAGUGAGGGGGAAAAUGUGAGGAGAGAGAGAGACCCCUCUCAUAACCUUCUAUUGUAACAAUAUGCAUACAAGUCCCUCAACUUUCCACUCUGUGCACUGCCCAGACUGGGCAAGACCCGCGCGGAGGGAUCCGUCUCUCCCUGCCUGGGACCGGUCCCAGAGGACCUUCCUCAUUUCCACGCGCUCGAGAAUCGGUCUCCCUGGCCCAGGGACCGGUUGCCUCGCGCGUUGCCGCAACCACCAGCCGAUGGGACCGGUCUCUCCUUGCCAGGGACCGGUCCCCGAGAGCAAACCCGCGCAGACCAUGUUCGGGAACCGGUCCCUCCCGCAAGGGACCGGUCCCCGAGAGCAGAUCCGCCCAGUGCAGGUUUUUGCAUCAUUUGCUCUCGCGGACUCCAUUCAAAUGCACUUUUUGGGUUUCGUGCCAUUCUGGCUUUUCCGAAGGCUACUCGCUCUACAGUUAGUCGAUCCUGGACGAAGUCCAACUCUCGGCUUUCGAGAAUUCACUUCGUCACACACGAUUUGAUGAAGGGGUUGAAUAGUAGUGUGAAGAGAUUGCACCUAAGGAAGGAGAAUUCUUAGUGAUGCAUAGAGCAGUCAUUAGUCCAAAGGAAGAUUGUAAUGAUGGGCUUCGAAACAAUCUCUUAAGAACUCCCAGUAGAUCCUAUGGCAAGGUGUGCUCUCUUGUUAUCGAUGAUGACAGUUGCUAGAAUAUUGUCUCAAAUAUGAUCAAGAAGCUCAACUUGAAAACGGAACCAUGUCCUAGGCUGUAGACAAUUGCAUGGUUUAAAAAGGCAAAAAGUAAAGGUUACCAAGUGUUGUCUUGUUUCCUUUUCCAUGGGUAAAACCAAGGAUUAAAGUGCCGUGGCACGGGGUUAUGCCGGAAACAUGCCGGCACAGUGCGUGUCGGGCUGUGCCGAUGCGUGCUGGUCAAAAAAAUAUAUGUGUGCCGAAACGUAAUGGCAUGAAAUAUUUAUUUUCUUUAGCAACAAAAAAUAUGCCUAUUAUUUAUUAUAUAUUUUUAUCAAAUCUUUUGAACUUUGUUGAGAAAAUUACCUACUAAUUUUAAGAAUAGAAGGUUUUGAGUUGUGCCAUCGGCAUGAGAGCUGUAUCGUGUCGAUAUCUUGCUAGCACGAUACGACACGGUGGAUACGGCCCGUGCCAAUAGGCACUUUAAUCCCUGGGUAAAACUUAUAAAAAUGAAGUUUGGUGUGAUGUAACUCCUAUGGAUGUUGGCCAUAUGCUCUUAUGUAGUUCUUGGCAAUUUGAUAGCAGUGUUAUUUAUAUGGGGGGUAAAGUUAGAAUUUUGGAGAAAAUAUUUUUCAAAACCCACGUGCAUCAUCGAGAUGGCAGACCACAAACCAUCUAAUAACAAAUAAACAAUAUGAACCAAAUUGUAAAUUCAUAAACAAAGAGUGAAAACUAAACAAAUCUAAAUAAAAUAAAGAUGCUUCAUUUAGUCUUGCAUCAGCCUCCAAGAAAUUAAUUGUCAAAGAUAUUCUAAUAUUCAUUAUGUUCAUUAUUAUAUUGUAUAUCUUUCUUUGUGACUUGUGCUACAUCUAGUUUAUCUAUAAUUUGCAUAUAAACUAUAUGCCUUCUUGAACCUUAGUAUAAUUGUUUGGCUUGACUUUUCAUUUGACUUUGACAUCAUUUAAACUACUUUUACCUAACAAAGCAGCUUGUCAGGCUCACUUGAAACGAUUGACCAAUUAUACACUUGUGUUUUGGCUUAAUUUCAUUGAUCGUGAAAUUGAUGCCAUAUUCCUAUCAACCAACAUAAAAUCUAUGAGGCUAAUAAAUGCCUAUGAAAGACUAUUAAUUGAAUGACUUCGAGAGACUCUAAAAUUCUCCUUAAAACCAUUCAUAGUAGGGGGAUGGUGGGAAAAUUUGAUUUUCUAGCUUUGUCCACAAAUGCAAGUUUGAAAAUAGAUUAAAAGAGUUUUCAUGUACAUAAAGAACCGAUGUCGAAAGUUUUACUCAGGGAUUCAAGUGCUGGCCUGUGGCGUAUGGCAUGGGGCAACACUUAUCGUGCCCCCAGUAUGGGGGCACGGUACAAGGGGAGUCUUACAGGACGCUAUACCCCAGUGGGUAUCGCGGCACAUUAUCAUGCCGGUUUUAUUUUAUUUUAUUUUUAUUUCUGUUGUGGUUUUUUUUUUCUCUUUUUGCACACUCACCCCUCUCCCUUCGAACGCACACUGUGCUACCUGUGGGGAGUGGGAAUCUUUUUCCUUUUUCUUUUGGUGGGCCUUUGUGUCCCCUUUUUUUUCUUUUGUCGCUUAAAAAAGAGGCAAACAAUUGCAAAUCGAAGAUUUACUUAUUAUGUAAGCAAAAAAGUUAUAAUUUAAAUUUUUGUUUAUGUAUUUUGAAUAUUUUUUAUUUGUAAAGCUCAUUUUUUGAAGAAAUAUAAAAUUAGGCAGUUUUUAAUCUAUAGUUUAUAAAAAGUUAAAAAUAGAUCUUCUUGAUUUAAUUAUAUGGUCAAAUUUUUAAUUUUUAAUUUUAAAAAUUUAAAAUUAAAAAAAUUUUAAUAUUUAAAACUAGGCCGAAAGCGGUGAAUGAUUUACCGCUUUUAGAAAGUGGUGAAAUUCACCUAACUUGUAUGUUUUCUACAUCAGAAUUUCGAUGAAUGUAUAGUAUUAAACACUAAAAGUAAUUUUAAUGCUUUGGAAAAAGCGAUGUAUGAUUCGUCGCAUUUAGAAAGCGGUGAUUCAUUCACCGCAUAGGCCUAAUUUUGUAAAUAAAUCUUUGUAAGGGCUAUUCUUAUUAUUAUAAGAUUUUUUAGUCUAUUAAUGAAAACGAUUUGGUUUGUACCGUCUGCUAUGACAUCCGCUAUAUGUUUUCCGCUAUGAGAUUGCCCAAAUGCUAUGUGCCUGCUACUUGCUAUUUACAGCCUUGUAAGGAAACAAAGAUAGCAUACAAUUGUAUAAAAUGUUUUCAACUUUACUUUUAACUUUUGUAUAAUCUCCUUAUAAAUGAGAUAUAAUUGCAAUUUCUUGAGAGUUAAGUAUUCUAUUGCAAAUUUGUUUACUUUAUUGAUGAAUGUAGAAUUGACUUUUGGGAUGAACUUUUUGAGACAAGGAAGAACUUCUUAGUAGAUAUUUUCUUUUGUUUGCCUUUUGGCAUCCUGAUUUAACCUUUUCAUUUAACCCUUUGCGAAGAGUUCCAACUUACCACUAUUUGAAUGAAGAAGUAAUUUUCCUGUGAAUGCAACUCAGCUUGACGUAUGAUCGUCUAAAGGCUCCUAACUUGUGAUUUGCACUCAAUUUAUGUCCUUUACUCAUGAUCUAGAAUGCAGCAAAUAGAAGACAUCGACAUGUUGUUUGCAUCAUUGAAUUAUUGGUUGUUACUAUUGGUUUCUUCUGUUCUAGUUUAGCUUUUACGUCCAACAAUUUGUAAUAGUUUUCUUAAAUGUACGUUUUCUGCAGCUUAUGGAUCUUUUAGCCUCGUGGAGAUCUUCUCUGACAAACUUCUUUCGUGGUAUAUUUUUCUUUACGUGAAAAAUUGCACUUAUAUUUUACUAUCUUUUACGGAUGAGUGCUGACAGUUUAGUUAUUUGAGACAAGCCCUGGAUUUUGUUAUUCCUCUACCCGUUAAUAUUUCAUUUUGCAACUGAAUGGCGACAUGGUUGAUAAUUAUGUGAUUUUUCCUUCCUUCUCCUUAUGGAUUCUUCACAUUUCCUAAGAUAAUUUACAAGUUUCUUAUCAAAACAAAUAUUACUUGUGUAUGUUAAAACUAGGAAGUAUCUAUUGUUGUAAUGCUUGUGUUUAUACCGAAUAUUCUUAGCAUCGCAACUUAUGGACAAAUUAUACUGCCAAAACCCAGGUUGUUAUGCUGUUAGGCAUUUGCUAGCUGCCGCUAACGCAAACUUUGGUUUAUUCAUUUGGACUCUUUUCAUUUUUAGUUUUCUUUUAGUUCUUUUUUACUAUAUAUUUCUAGUAAAGAACUAAUAUAAAAUAGAGAUACAAAUGCCCUGACCUAUUAGAUCUAGGCAAUACUAGUUGGUAAAGUGGUUAAGGAAGCAAAAUAAUAUGGUUUGAUAUGAUAAGAAAAGAUUUAGUCUUAUUUGUUUAGGAAAGGACAUAACUCAAAGUGGAAUUCAUUGGCUAGAACAGAUACAUGUACCUUACCCUAUAUAAAUUCUUUUAAAGAUUCACAUUACUGAUUCUAAGCUUUGAAAAAAGGCCUAUUUGAGUUGAGUAGAACAACACUAAACUAGUAAUAUUUAGUAGUUUUAAAAUUAUGGAAUUUGGAUGAUGUGUAUUGCUGGUUUCAAUUAAUGCAAGCUAACACUUCGUAGGGUAAGUGUAGAACAUUAUUACGUGUAGAUUAUGUGAACAUGAUCGGCAGCGAUUUUAGUAUACAACAUUUGAGUUGGUGUGGUAGCUCUAAUAUCUAGGUAUGGAUAUGUGCAACCUUGUUGCUGUAGGUUUCAACUAAUCAUAUUCAGUAUGACAAAAAGAACCAAUGUUGUUUUAGGGUACGGAAUUGGUAUCACAUUGGUUUGAACUAUUAAGUCUAACAAUUUUGGUCAAUGAUUUAAGAAACUAUCUACCUAUACGGAUGCUACUACUGCCGCAUCAGGUGUGAACUGAUCAUUUGAAUAAUUAGAACUCGCAAUAGACUCCAAAAGUUUUGGGGUGUUUGACGAAAAUAGACAAGAAAAAAAGCUGUCCUAGAUUUGGAAUUAGAAGUUGGCUCCGUCAAUAUUAUGAAAUUCACAAUUGUUUUGUGCCCAUGAUACAACGUCACGAACUUCCUCAUACAUAAUUUACUUCUAGUUUAGGAACCGUGAGAAGGUUUGCAUCCCAUACUAAGUGACAAAUUUGCUAAUGGAAGGGCGUAAAAUGUUACCCUCAUGCGAAUCCUUAGUUAUGUUGUCAUGUCUUAAAAGAUGGACAUUGGUGAGCUUUCAUAGUUCUCAGAUGUAUGAAAGCUUAAUUUGAGUUCACAUUUAAAUUCACAAUUGAAAUUAAUGAUCCACAAAGCUCUGGGUGGUCAAGUUUGGUUUGAGUCAAGACAGCAACAUCGUCCGAAGGGCAUAUCUUCCACAUACAGAUGUCGAUCGAGACUAUUAUUUGUUUUAUGUGUGCGGAUCGAGAAGGUCUAGUCAGAUUCUGGCAACGUAACUUAGUACGCGUCCUAGGGCAUUUUGGGGUUGUUUGGGCGUUCAAAAUCGCAGUCAAUAGUUUGACUUUCUAUCUAUAGAAAGUUUGACCAUGAUUAUCUUCUUUUCCGUAAAGAAGUAGGAUUUCAUCUUUUAGUCAAAUUUGAUGUACUUAAUAUGCUCUUCCCAAAUAUGAUACUGUUGGACCGACUUCCCAUAAAAGGAAAAUACGGAGUCCAAGGAGUAUCACUCUGAAUCGGGGUAGGAUUGUGGAUUCUGUUCGGGUUUUUAUAAAUAUAACUCCUGUAAUCUUUUUAAUUGAGGAAAUGAAAUUAAAAGGAAAUCUUUUUUUGUCUAAUAUCUCUCUCAUCUCUCCUCUAAUAUUCUACAUCUGAGCAUUUUUUACGAAAGAUCACAGACCCACUUACAAAUUGAAUUCACAUUUCAAAUCCAAAUCAAGUCAUAAAAUUCACAAUUUAAAUUUCAAAUUGGAAUUAAAGCUAAAGUUAAAUUUAAAACUAGAAUGCUUCUAGGAAGAGCUUGCUCACUGUAAGGAUUAUUACAAAGAUGAUUACUAAUCAAACACAUCAAUUUGACACUUCUUGAGUUUUGACAUGAUAUACUGUGCAAAUGAAACAGAGAAAUCCUAUAUUUCAAGAAAUCUGAUCAAUACAAAUAAAAUUAUGGACGCUUUAACAUUCUUUGUUAAUCUUGCAUAAUGUGAACCAAACGGCUCCUUACUGAUAUACAUUUUGUAACCAAUCUUGUAGAUUGGAUAAAGGAGGCCGAGGUAAGUAGCUUGAUAGCUUAUGUAAAACGUUUGUCAAGCAAAUUAUAUAAAUGAAUACCAUGGAAUUCACACUUUUAGGCUGCUGUACAUGGAUGAUCCAUUGCGGCUUCAUUAUCUAGACAUAGCCACAAGCUACAAGCAAACUAUGGGAUGUUGUGCAUCAGGACCUGGAGGCAAUGUUAUGUAAUCGAUGGUUUUCAUAACACUUCGUAUACAUAGAGGUAAGAAAGUUUAUUCAGGGAAAAAAACCUUUGGUUAGUGACUCGAAUAGUAGGUCGCUGUGAAAAAUAUGCAAUUGGUAGCCAUGAUGGCUAGCAGUGAAUUAACAUUGUUAGUCCUAUUUUAUUAUCAAUUUUCAUGAGCAAAAUAUGUUUAGUCUCUUAUGCUUGUUUGAAGUCAAAUUCAUGAAGUCAUGAAGUUUAUGAGUCUCCAGACCCCUCAAUAGUUAGGGAGGAUACUUAAUUAAUUUAACAAGGUACUCCAUUUGUGACCAAAUUUGUAUUUGAUUUAAGAUCUAGGGUUUGAGACCGUCUUGAUAUUGGUGGUGUCUUGAUUUCUUAGUAUUCAAAUUAGAAGGCGGACCUAUGUAAGAAAAGUGGCUUGUCCACGACUGACUAAUCCAAAUAAUACAUGAGUUUAAGGCUUGAUAGGUUGAGAUAAAAGGUGGAUGGGAUGAUGAUCGAUUAAUUGAAUAAAGUUUAUAAGUUUGGUGAGGACAUUCAAUCAAUUUGAUAAGGUAAUUUGGUAGUUGGUCUAAGAUAUACAUUGCAUUUUGCUUAUUUGAGAUGUUUCUUGUUGUGGUCUUUAUUUUUGUGACCUAUGAAGGAAAGUGAACAAAGUCUAUGAUCAACUCAUCUGGACAAUAGAUGAGGGGUUCAGGCUUGAUUAGUUUAGAUUAAAGGUGGACAGAUGGAGGAUUGAUUAAUUGAAUAAAAUUUUAAUCUCUUGGCAAAUCAUAGAUCGACUUCGUUUGGAUUGCGGGAGAUUGCAUUAUGCGAGGUGGGAAAGUAUGAUGAAAAAAUAUAUUGUUUUUUUCUGUACGUAAUAUCACAUUGUGCAUGCCACAAUGAGUAGGUUAUGAUAUAUAUUUUGCUAUUCCAUUGGAAAACGGAGAAGCAAAUUCCUAUAUGCUUUUGCUGCAACUACAUUUUGCCUAAUAGCAUUAGAUGGACUUCAAUGCCAAACGGGCCUAAGAGAUGUCUACUAGUCCACCACUGUGUUUACUCUUUGACUACGAUACCUAAUGAGCUUUGAUCUCUAUUAGCACACUUUAGCGUUUGUGAGAGGGGUAUAAAAAGGGUUCCAUCGGAAAGCGGCAAAGCAUAUUCCUAUAUGCUUUCACUCCAACUCCAUUUGCGCAAUAGCGUUAAAUGGACCUCAAUGCUAAAUGGUAAGAGAUGUCUAGUAGUCCGCUAAUAUGUUUUUAACCAUCGACUACGAUACCUAAUGAACUUUUAGCUCAGUGAUCGCUAUUAAUGCAUUUUAUGGUUUGUGAGAGGGGUAUAUAAAGGGUUUCAUGAGUAUUAUUGUUCUCUCUUAAAGAAAGAGUUCAAUAGGGACAACUUUAAAAAUCAAACUCUAUUACAAUGAUAGUUUUUCAUCUUCAAUAAAUUCAUGUAUAUUAACUAUAAUACAUUAUAAAAUUGGUCUACAUGGACAUCACGAUCAUAGCCUGCAAGACUGCAAAUAGUUGGAUUUCUCAUGCAAGCCUAGUGCGUUGCAGUGGACUAAAUUGAAGACCUUAUUAUAUUUGAAGUGGUUGAAGAAUAUUCAUUAAGAAAUUCAGGUGGGACAAAACUAACACAACCUUGGAAUGCUCCUGCCUAUUGCACUAGUCAGCAUAGUGAGAAAUGUGCUAAAAUUGCUUUGGCAGAGUAGAGUAGCCCAUAUCAAGGUACCUCCUGUGCCAUAAAGUAUUGAACCUUGCCAACAUGUAUCAAGGUGUGUAGGGAUAUAUCGAAUUUCAUCAAUGGUAUUGAACAGUAUGGAUGGUUGCUUUUCCCUAUGCCGUGAUAUUCAAGGUACUAAUUUAAUACGACAAUUCUGAAGUACGUAAUUUCUACAUUUGUGUGUUGUUAACAAGUAUUUGUUACAUAGCACUUCAAUAUUUAGCAAGCUACUUAUUUAUACAACUUUAAAAGAUACGGAAUUCUAAGCACAAUUAGUUCCAAUUUGGUACAUUAGGGCCUUGAGAAGUUAUUAUAUGGUGGCCAUGGUUGCGGCGGCGGCACCAGUUUUUUCUUCUUUUUUUUGGGGGGGGCGGGGAGGGGAUUAUUGUUCUUGUGAAUUUCACGGGCAUCAUGGGCAUAACAACUAAAAAACUUGGAAGUAGCUGAAUUUUUGUAUAGAGGGACAUACAUUAUGGGACUUGAAGUCCUUGGAAAGCAUCUAUAGAUAUAUUAAAUCCUGAGUUUUACUGUGGCCGACGUGUCGGCUUCUCAGCGCCUCUCUCUCUACCGUUCCCUCUCGCGCCCCUUCGGUUUCUCGCGGUUGGCGGGGGGCUUCGGUGGGACCACUAUUUNUUAAAUAAUUUGAAUUUAUCAUUACAAAAUUUUUAAAUAGUGAUACAAAAUUAAUGUCUAAAGUAGAUCAAUUCUAAAUUUUUUUAACAUAUUAAAUACAUUGAAUUUAUACAUAUAUUUUUUACCUACAUUCAAUUUUUUUAAAAUAAGUGAUACAAAAUUAAUGUUUAAACUAGAGAAAUUUAAAAGUUUCUUAAAUAUAUUAAAUAUGUUGAAUUUAAAUAUUUGCCAACAUUAAAUUUUUUAAAAUAGUAAUACAAAAUUUCUCUAACUUAAAUUGACAUUUGUAAAAUUUAAAUGUUUAAUAUUAAAUAUUUAAUAUUUAAAUUCAAUGUAUUUAGAAAUAGUACUAUUUCUAAAAUUUCUAUAAUUUAAAUUAAUGCCUAAAUUAGAGAAACGCUAAAAUUCCUAAAAUAAAUGGCUAAAUUAAUGCCUAAAUUUGGGAUAUCAAUCAAUUUCUAAAAUUAGUAAAAACUUAAUCCCUAAGUUUAGGAUAUCAAUGAAAAAUUUAUUUAAAUAUUUCAUUGUUUAAUUACAAAAAUAACGAAGUAACCCUUUUACCUGCUAUAUGUUAAAAUUACAUCUUUACCUCCAUUGAUCAAUGGUUAAGAUUUUUUUUAUUUUUUAUAAAAUAAAGUACCGAAUCAUUUCUCAUUGAAUUUUAUCAAGAGUCGGUAGUAGAAAAAAUAUUAUUCAUUUUAACUUCAGUAUCAGUAAAAAUCAAUCUCAACUUGACAAUCAAUUAAUAAGUAAAUAAACAGGCCCUUUGAGUACCUUGGAAUAUCAUGCAUCUCACAAUUCCAAAACUUCGAGUAAUUGCAAGAGCUCAAUAUUUUCAAUUUUACAUAUUUAAAUUUUAAAUUUCAGUUUCUAAAUUUUAAAUUUUACAUUUUUAUAUUUAAAUUUUGAAUUUUAAAAUAUAAAAUAUAAAAUAUAAAAUUUAAUAUUUGAAACCUAAAAUUUUAAAUUUGAUAUUUGAUAUUUAAAAGUUAAAAAUAAUAUUUAAAAUCUAAGCUUGAAAGAUGUUCAUUUAAAAUUUAUCAAUUUUGAAUUUUAAAUCGGAAUGAUAAUUUAAAAUUCAACUAUGAAAUCAAAAUUUAACUUUUUAUUUUAAAUCGAAAAUCAAACUGAAAUUUUAGGUUGCCGAUGUUGGUCCGUUGCGAAACGUGGGCCCUAAACUAGUCUGAUUAAAAGCUUGAUUUUGUGUUGAAGUUGGCUUUGUCACCAUGUGUUAAAUAACAUUUGUAGCAUCUAUGAACUAAGUUUGUGCAUAGCACUCCUAUUAGAUCAUGAGUUUGUUCUACACUACUUGUCUGUCUCCCUCAACAAAUUAUGGUCCGCAUAUUCGCCUCACCCCUAUAAAGCUGUCAGAUAGAAUCUAUUUGCAGAAGAGAGGAUAGAGAUUUAGAGAAAUUGGAGACAACAAAUAGAAACAUUGGUAUAGGAUAAAAAUAAAGCACAGAAAGCCUGUGGGUUUUUUUAUAGACGAAAGCCUAAAAGAGGUCGUGUUAUUAGCUGGAAAGAAAGAUGGUCCUCGACAAUCAACGAUUUAUGAUUUACUAAUGACAUGGUUUAGCAUUCCUUUUAAUCAAGAUUGCAAUUCGUGGGCGUAUGGCUGCUUUUGAUCAAGACAACUAGUGAACGGAGUUAUAUUUAAGCCUGUGAUUUAGGAAGAAAAUAUUUGAGAAUGAAUUGAACAAUUUAAAUAGCUGGUCAGCGCAUAGUUAUCUUGAGAUACAUCCUUGUAUUACUUGUUGAUUCUAGAAUUCUUAAAUUUUCUCAAUUCUAUCAAUUAUUUUUUAUGAGUGACAAAUAGCAUUCCAUUGCGCUUUUCUUGUACACCAGCUUCGAAGUAAAUUUAAAAGUAGGAAAAAGAGUCACAUUACGUGGCUAAAAUCAAACAAAUUAAUAGAUGUUUCAUGAGCUCUUCCGUAAUUUAAGGCAGAUUACAGAUAGUUUAAUUGUAAUUUGUUUCAUACUUAAUCAUUACAGUAAAAAGCGGCUGAUUGAUCAGUGUAUUUACCUGCAUAUGCAGAUGCAGUCACCGCAGUGCUCUGCAUAAACUGCAUUCGCAUGUGGAUCUAGUGCCACAUAAUGAGCACAUGGGAAAGCCGCUUACUUUCAUCUACUUUAACUGUAUAUAUAUGUGACAUAUCUAUAUUAGUUAAUCAUACACUUAAAUGAUUAAACUAUUUUUUAUUAGUCUUUUUUCGUACUUGGACACAUUUUUUAUAGCUAGAUGGAUAUUGACAUGAACUUUAUAGUGGACUUGUCCUACAAUAUACAUUUUCAUAGAAUGUUUCAUUAUUGUUCUUUUAUCAUUUGUUUUUAUUCAUAUUUUGGUACUGGGUACAUUUAGAGUUGACAUGCUAAACAUGAUAUUUGGACUUUCUAGGUAGUGAAUUCGUUAGUUUCAAAAAAUGACAUCCCAGUUCAUUAGCUAGCGUCAAGAUGAACAGUUAAAAUUGAAUAACCUUCAAAAAAUAAAUUAAAGUAUUAUUUCAAAAUUAGGACUGUAAAUCUUGCCUAAAGUCUAAAUAGUUAAAGAAUUAUAUAUAAACAAUUUAAUUGAUUUGGAUUGUUCGACAUUGUUAAACAAAAAACGCCCUUUUGGCCAUUUGAAUUGUCAAUUUAGAGAUAAUUACUUGAUCAGUAGGUAAAUUAUAUUUAAAUUAUAUCAAAAAAUUAUGAAAUUUAGUUCCUUGGAAGUUUGAUAGCCUAUAUCAUGUUUAGUGGUGUCUAUUGUCCAUUGUGAUGUCCUAUCAGUGGAAACAAAGUGGAAGUGUGAAGGCAUUUUUACAUUUAUAUUUUAAUUUACGUCUUAUGUAGAUCGCGUAUGCUUUCAUCUUCUAAAUAGGUGCUAUGUGGUUUGUUGACCAGCUAGGACUUGUUUUCUGUGUUUUAUAACAUCGUCCUUAAUUGAAACAGAGGGUAGCAUAUAUGCUUCAACCACCCUUUUGUUUGUUAUAACUUGUUUGUUGCAUUCAAAUGGCUCCUUUUUCUGUUUUGUGCAUUUUAAACUUUUCUUUUUUAGCCAAAAUCCGAGCAUGCCAAUCAGAUGGAGCUUUACUUUUCAGACCUUUUCUUUUUGCAGGUUCCCUUUCUAUUAUCAUACGAAGUUGGCUUUUCUCGUUUGGCUCCAACUCCCCAGUGGCAAUGUAUGUAACUUGAAAGAUGCAUUAGGAAAUCUUUGGCCUCAUCUCUCCCCUUUCUUGUAUAACAUAAUGCAAGAAAGGGAUAGUUCUGAUGGAAUGUGGUUCAUAACAAAUUAUAAAUGCUUCUUUGCUUUGAAAGUCUUGUGAUGCAAUAUAUGUGCUUUUGGCUUUUUUAAGGAAAACUGCUCCAACAAAAUGAAUUCACAAUGAAUAAAACUUGUUGCAUGAAUUAGAAUUUCCUGACAUGGUUUUGUCCAUUUCGCUGGAUUCUUUGUUGAAAACUAAUGGUUCAAAUUUUAGCAGCAAUACAUUUACAUGCAUGUAAAGUUGAGAGUGCGGUUGCUGAUGGUUAGUUUGUUCAUGUUACUGAAUAUUGGAAACCUUCUGUUGUUCUAUCCAUUUAUCUCCUUGAAAACACUAUUAAUGUUAUUUUAACUGACAAUUAACCAAGUAGUAGCUAGUAUAUGGAGUGCGAACGUAAUGCCGGAUAAUUUUGGGCACUGCUAAACCAAAUGCGGAGAGAACAAAUAUAUAAUUAGAUAAUCAGAUUCUGAAAUCAAGAUAGAUUGCUCGGACAAUUGCUUACACAAUAAUUUUAGUUGUUUUAUAAUAGUAAAACCGUGUUGGCCAGUGGAAACUUUUAUUCUUUAAAUCCUUUUAUUUAAUGUUCGACAAGCAAGAAUUUAAGUAUCCAUUGGCACGGGCUAUAUCUACCGUGCUGUAUCGUGCCAACAAAAUAUCGGCACGAUACAACCACUGUGCAGAUGGCACAGCUCAAAACCCUCUAUGCUUUAAAUUAGUAAGUAAUUUUCUCAAUAAAAUUCAAAAGAUUUGAUAAAGAUACAUAAUAAACAGUUAGAAUAUUUUGUUGCUAAAGAAAAUAUGUCAUAUAAUAUGUAUCGGCACAUGUAUUUUUUGUAACCAGUAUGCAUCGACACGAACUGGCAUGCACCGUGCUAUACUAGCCGGCAAGUUUUCGGCACAAUCCCGUGCCACGGCACUUAAAUCCUUGUCGACCAGCCAUCUUAGAUAUUGUCAUUCAAGCGAUAGGUAUUUUUGUUAGAUAUAUUAUGAGUUACAUUGCAUAUCAAAAGUAUGAUAACCUAUUUGGGACCGGAGCAUCUAUGAUUUGUUUGGAUAGAGUGGAGUGGCACCCAAGGGACUGUGUGGGGUCCAGACAUUCUUUUGCUAAUCAAACCAUCUUUUCCUAGUUUAUCGGUUAUAGUGGAAAGUAUAGGGUUUUGUCACCUAUUUUGCUCUCUUCACUGGGAACAAGGAUUUGUUUGGCCAAGCCUUUAUCUUAUGAGGAGAAAAUGAUCCAAUUGAUAGGUGGGCAUUUAAUUUCUUGCUUAAAAUAUUGCAGUGUUAUUUGCAUUCUUUAGAUCCAUUACAUAUCAUAAGAAAGUUAUUUUAAGCACCUUAUCCUAAAAAAUUAAUUUUUGCAUGUGGCCUUUGCAUCAAACUCAAACAAAUGCACGCUCUCGUUCCUAACUACCAUAAGAGCAUGGUUAUGUGCUGUUUGCAUGUGCAUGGUAUGGUACCUUUUGUGUGUCUGCUGCAUUGGUAUAAUUGGUGUUUUAUAAAUUGAAAGCAGAAUCUUCUUCCGAUAGAACAUGGAAACUCUUCUUUCCAGACAGUGCGAAAAAAUUGUGAGACGAACACUAACAGAUUACAAAACAGUAAGAACUAGAGGCUGUUGUGAUGCUCCACUUCCCAAGGGGUUAUCCGUCCUAGAACUACUCUAGUCCUAGCAUGCUUAACUCUCUUAACCUCUUGGGUCUAGCCACCACCGAAAAUGCUAUAGUUGGAUUAAGAUGUUUAGCCUUAUUAUAUCUCAUAUAUAAGAGUGGGGGGGUGUCACAUUCCUCCCCCUUUUAAGCCCUGACGUUCUUGUCAGGCUCAAGCACAUUCACAAGCACCAAGCGAUAUCAGACUUGUCUCGCUAACCUUUAACCCACCUUAUGGGGAGCUGCGCUACAACAACAACGGUAAUCAGUUGGAGAGUCACACUCUACCUGCCGUGUAAUCCCAGCUCACUCGAGACUCAUCUUAUAUUUUUGACUGGUGGAUGGCUCUGAUACCAACUGUGAUGUCCUAUUUUCCAGUUCCCAGGGGGUCACCCAUCCUAGCACUACUCUAGUCCUAGUAUGUUUAACCAAGAAUUUAAGUGCCCAUCGGCACAAAUUGUAUUCACCGUGUUGUAUCGUGCCAACAAGAUAUCGACACGAUAUAGUCCCCGUGUCGAUGGCACAACACAAAACCACCUUUAUUCCUUAAAUUAGUAAGUAAUUUUCUCAAUAAAGUUUAAAAGAUUUGAUAAAUAUGCAUAAUAAAUAAUUAGAAUAUUUUGUUGCAAAAGAAAAUAAAAUAUUUCAUGCUAGUAUGUGUCGGCACAUAUGUAUUUUUUGUGACCGGCACACACCGUGCCGGCAAGUUUCUGGUACAAUCGCGUGCCACGACACUUAAAUCCUUGCGCUUAACUUUCUUAACCUUCUGGGCCUGGCCACCAUCCAAAAUGUUAUAGCCGGGUUAAGAGGUUUAACCCUAUUAUAUUUUAUAUAUAGGACUAGGGGUGUCAUAGUUUAGCUGACUCAAUCAGCAAGACAAGCAAGAACAUUUUAUAGGCUUUGAAUGUACUUGGAUUUCAGGCAUCUACAAACGAUGGUAGACCUUGAGAUAACCUUGAGAUCAAAACUUAGUUCAGGAACAUAUAUUCAGUUGAUUUUAAUGGUCUACAUAAAGAGAGCUUUUUGUAUUGGUUUACUGUUUCAACUGAGACAAAACCAGAUCUAGUAUUUAGUAGUCGAUACUUGACUUUUGCUAAUUUUAUUAGUAUACUUAUAUUGUCUGACAAUAUACUAAUUAACCAGCACUGUUAUACUUGUUAUUUGGUUUGUGUUUUCUACUUUGUGAUGGCACUGAUUACUAAUGUUCUUCCUUUUUCAGGGAUCAAAACAUUUAUACUCAAGACACUUGCGUCCAUUUCUUCUCAAACAUCAAGCUAGAAUUGAUCGACUGCUUAAUCUCUUGUCCAAUGAAAUUGUAUGCUCCCCAUGCUACUUACCUUUGCAAUGCAUAAAUUACUUAUUUUCACAUUCGAUUCAAGGGGUGUUUGCUUGCUAUAAUUAUUUCUCUCGCAAUGCAGCUUUUUUCCUACUUGUAAUUUGUAAGCAUCUGUCUAGCUGCUUUAAUUGCCUGCGUCUGUACAAAGAUCAGAUAUGAUCUUUGAUCUUCAUUAAACAUACUUUCUUAGUAAUUUUUUUAUGGAUGAUCUUGAUAUGUAGAACUGUUAGCUUUUCCAUGCUUGAUCCAUCCAGUAUAGUUUUGUAUUGAAACAAGAUAAUGAUUUUAUUUUGUUUUUAAUCAGAACAAGUUUAUUAGCAAUCACAGAGGAGAAAUUCAUUUCGUGAAAGCUGCGGCAAUUAAAUGUGCAACAACAGGUAUGCAAAAUUCUUCCAGCUGUUUCUCAGUAUUUUUCUUCUCUAGCAUGUGUUUUUCUUACAGAGUGCAAAAUUUUGCCUCUAUGCUAGGGUUGUGGUAUUUUUCUGUUUCUUCAUACUUACCAGAUUUUUAAGAUUAGCUACUCAUUAUUUUUAUGCUUAAAAAAUCACUAGUCAUAUUUAGGAGAGUCAUAUGAACCUAUGGCAUUUGAGUAGGGAAGCCCAUGAAUUUCCACCCCAUGAAUUUCCGCAGUAAUAUCUAAUCUGGGCUCUGGUGUCUCUUUCUUCUCGUUCCUAGUUAGGGUUUUCGGUUAGCAAAUCAUUCGUAUGCUGAGAAAUUAAGUGAAUAUGGUGGAGACUCAUAUAAAGCUGUUACUGUAUGUCACAGUAAGCUUGUACAUUUCUACAUUAAGGGGUGUUGGAGUGACGCAAGUACAAUUGGUGCCACGCCCAGGCACGGAAGCUCCGCUGCCCGGACGGAGUCUUCCCUGUUCGUGCAAAGCAGCCAACUGCUAGUAGUACAAUCAGCUUGCAACAUGAAAUACAUGCUAGUAGUACAAUCAGCUUGCAACAUGAAAUACAUGCAGACGAAUGGCAAUAACUAGGAAAAGGGAGUUAACAUUGAAAUCCUUCCAAAUAUUGCAAUUUCUCUUAUAUCCUUCUAUUCAAAUUGGGACAACACCUUUACUACAUAGUUUCAUGUCCAAACUGCACUAAAGCACAUAAAGAGUAGACUAGCUAGCCGCAACUCCCCGCGGUCACACAUUCCUCCGCUUAUGGUUGAAUCUGAAAGUAAGCACCAAAAGGGUGCAAGAACUAAAGACAAUAGGUUCCAGUGGGUACAGUUGCCGAGAGGGGUGAUCUGCACUCAUUCGAUCUGGACGAGGCAUAAUAGUGCAAGUUAAAAGUGAGAAAUAACAACCGGAAAUGGGAGUAAUAUAAUAAGUAGUGCCGAAUACUAUGCCUCUGCAAGUACUCAUGCUAUGCUAUCGUGCUCGCUCAACUUGUUCAUGCAUCAAGUAUAUUAAAAAUGACGUUUGCUAUCAGCUUAAGCUUUUAAAGGCAAAUGGUUAUUUCACAUAGUAUCAAAGCAAAAUGUGCCGACUUCAAAUCUUACCAGACUCCUAGUUAAUUUAAUUUCCUCCGAUUUAAUUCAAUACACAUCCUCGGCCUAUCAAAAAGCCUCGAGCCUUAACAUGAGGGGAGUGUUGAAUAUGAAGUAUUAAAAAUACCAUUCUCUAGCAAUUUAGGCUUUAGAGUAAUUGGUUGUUCCACGUUAUCUUGCUGCUCUUUCUGAGGGCAGGUCCUCAAGGAAAACAAGCAGAAACCACAUGGCAGCAAAGUGAUAUUUAAAUCUUGACCGCAGUGUGCUAUUCUGAAUUGAUGAGUGUCAAACUGCACAUACACUACACCAUAGGGUGAGUUUUUGACCUUUUUUCCGAUGAUAAUGGAUUUGCGUCCUUCAUGGGACUGAAUAAAGAAAAAAAGUCCAAUUGGUCGAAAUGGUUGAAGCUUUUCUACUGUUGUCGUCAUUUGGGAAACACCUGAAUUUUAAAUGUUGCCGUCUGAUGAUUACUUUGUUGCGUCCAUACAAGUGAUGUUCCUAUAGCAAUACUUGGUCAACUUAGUCUCAUAUAAUGAGGUCCCGUUUCCUCGUGAAAAUAGCAGUCAACUUGCUGGCUCACGGAAAUGCAGUUUCAUUUUGUCUGCAAUCACUAAUUAUUCUGUUUGACAUCUGAACCAGCAAAUCAGAUGGUCAACGACAUCGUUCAGAUGGCACUACCUGGAGGGAUGAGGAAUACAGUUCAGGACCAAAACUCGCGCUUGAGACAAGAAGCAGACGAUUCAGAUGGUGAGACCGACAAUUGAAGUUGCAGCAUGAUCGACGGCAUAUCUUAGAAGUAGUAGUUAUGAAAGCAUGCUAAUGUCCAGUUGUACGAAAAGUUGUUCUAUUGAUGCUUUCUUAAGGCUAAGUGUAGAGUGACAUCCUGAUAUUUUGUAAUUAUCACCUUGCUCUCCUCGUAUCUGAAAAUCUACAUUUAAUUCUCCGGAACAUUUAGCUGGUUUGCAAGCGCCUUAUCUUCAGUAAAUAAUGAUAUUGAAUGUGGAUGUGUGAUGGAAUGGUGCUAAGCAGGGGUGUUAAACGAGCCGAACAUGAGCGAGCGAGCUAGGGCCGGCUCAUGUUCGGCUCGUUCAGCCGAAAAAUUUAGUUCGUGUUCGACUCGUUUAUUAACGAGCCGAAUACGAGCUGGCUCACGAGCUGCCCAACCAACAAUAAGUUAAAAAAAAUUAGAUUAAAUAUAUAUAAAAAAUAAAUUUAUAAAAUCUUAUUCCUUGGACUUUGAUCUAAUAGUUAAAAUUUUACGUAUAAAUGAGUCUUUUUAUAAUUAAGCUCGUAUUUAUAUUUUUUUGGCUAAAAAUUAAAGAAUAAAAAUAUAUAUUAUAUAUAAUUAUUUAUUUAUAUAUAAAAAUAUAAAUUAAAUAAAUUAUAUAAAUAUAAAAUAUAUGUAUUCGAGGAGCCGAACACGACACGAGCUAAUCUCAAGCUCCGUGUUCGCAUCGUUUACUACAACGAGCGAUUUGAAUCGAUCAUUUAGACCCGAACAUGAACUGCUUGCAAACAGCGAGUUGGAUUGGUCCCCCCCCAUCCCUAUGCUAAGUGAUUAAAUUCUUUGAUUUUUUUUUUAAUUUUAAAUUUUUUAUUUUUUCGGGAUAAAGCCAUCCCUUUGGAUGGGGGUUUGGCAUUGGCCCCUACCCGUUCAUUUUAAAUCAAAUAAAAGUCAAAUUGGGAAUUCUUGUGCAGUUUCCGCCCCACCGCAAAGAAAAAUAAACAAAAUCUAAAUAUUGACGAGAGGUCAAGUAUAGAAUUUUGAAAAUUAUUGUGAACACAAGCGAGAAUUGCUAAAGUGUGAAGGAGGUUUUUAUGUAUUUUAGCUUCUCCUUAAUACCUCUCUAUCUCUAUCUAGGGGUGGAAACGAGCCGAGCCCGAGCGAGUUUGCCUCAGCUCAAAUUCGGCUUGAAAUUAAUUUCGAGCCUAAAUUUAAGCUCAAGCUCGGCUUGAAAUUAAUUCGAGCCGAGCUCGAGCGAGCCUAAUUUCAAGUCGAGCGAGCUCGAGCCCUAAGCGAGCCGCUUGAAAUUCUCAACAUCGUACGAUUAAUAGUUUAAUUUGUAUAGAACAUUAUUUACAAUUUGAUACAAAAAUAUAUCUAAUAGUUCAAGAUACAAAAUAAUUAUAUGAAAUACGGUAUUAUAAUAUGAAGAAAAAUAAUUAACGAGUUGAAUAUCUAAUCUUUUCAGCUUCGCAUGUCUUCUUUUCCGCCUUCAAUUUUCAUAUUAUUCUUUUUCAUCUAUGCGGUCAAAAAAUGAAUAAAUUAUAGACAAAUAUUAGAUUAAACUAUCUAAUUAUAUAUAACUAAAAUCAAAAUUUUAUAUAAACAAUAAUUUUUUAUCUUAAAAGUAUUCUGUAUAUUUUCUCAAGCACACAAUUAAUGGCAAGGUAGGCAACAGCGGACGCGUGCUGUUACUUGAUAACUUGGGGGCUUUAGGUUUGACCACUUGAGGAGAGAGAGAGAGAGAGAGAUUAGGAAUUUAAGGCUUUGUAAAAGAAAAAGAGGGAGAGAGUGUAAAUUUAGUAAAAUUUUAUUUUUUUGUUGGCAUAUUGGGUUUGUUCUUAUGGGCCAGUAAUAUUGGCUCAAUUUUAACUAAACUUAGGUUACUCACUUAGCCUAUAUAUAUAUAUAUAUAUAUAUAUAUAUAUUCGAGCUUUUCGAGCCUAAUUCGAGCGAGCCGAGUAAUACUCAAGCUCGGCUUGAAAUGAAUUUCGAGCUUUUUUUUUUGUUCAAGCUCGGCUCAUCUAAUUUCGAGCCGAGCUCGAGCGAGCCGAAUAUCGAGCCGAACGCGAGUCGAACGCGAGCGGGCUCGCUCGUUUGCCAGCCCUAUCUCUAUCAACCUUUGGAAAGUUAAGUGCCUAUAUAAUGUUGACACUUUUGCAACUUAACAAAGUAUUCCAAGACCGAAUGUCCCUAGCGCAAGUGGCUAAGGGUUUGGUGGUUGAUACUGGAGAUGCCAAAUUUGAAUUCUAAUCGAUUAACAUUUUCAGCUAAGUUUAUUUCUAAAAAAAUAAACGAAGCGGUUAACAUGCUGCUACCUUUCUCUCUCUAAAAAAAAAAAAAAAAACCAAAAGUGUUCCAAGUGAGUUGUUUUUCUUUGGCAGCUAGCUAGGUGGUCGACAGUAGCUUUCUUAAGAUUGAUUGUAAGCACCUAGAAACUGCGGAGUUUUAUUUUAUUUCUCUUAUUUUGAAAAACAAAAUCUUUCCAUCUCUGUUUAUGCUCACUGAGUUCAAAUUUGUACUAGGACUAUUAUACCUAUAAGAUUAUCCUAGCUUAAACUCUAUUAACUCUAUUAUAUAUAUAUAUAUAUAUAUAUAUAUAUAUACUUAUACUUAUACUAUAUUUAUAGGUGAGGCAUUUUUCUCUACUUGUCUCUUCUUGGCCGGUGUGGCCACUCCCUUGAAAUAUAAUAUUAGUGCAGUCCAAAUUAUUGAAUUUUCGGCUGUUUUUUCUACUCUAUAUAUGUAAAUAGCCCAUCAUCAUCUUAUUUAGUUUUUCAUUAGACUUUAUAUAUAAAAACUAGCUAUUCUAAAUUCAAAGAGUGUAAUACAGGCUGAUGGGCUCAUAAUAAUCGUUGGUGACAUGAUAUCAAAAUAUGUAGGAUCACGUUAACACAAGGAGUUGUUAGCUAGAGUGCACGCGAUGCACAAACGCAGAUCGAUUGUACCGUCUCACAGUUUGAAUGAACGUACGAUAGAAAGGGCCGGGCCGGGGGAAGAGAGAGGAAAUUUAGUCUGUAGUUGGCACAGAGAUGACACCAUGGCGGGCGAUGGCUGCUGAUAGGUGCAGAGACGAGACGGAGUUACAGUAGUGAAUGGUGGGCGCAUAGAGGGGACGAUGCUAGCUAGCCUACAGACAAGAGGUGCAGAAACAAAAUAAGUGAGGAGGGCGGUAGGGAUCGAAACGUACCGAUCGAAUUUGGAUAAAUAUUUGAUGAAACCAUAUAUAUUUGUAUCCUCCGGUUUUUUCUUUUUUUCUUUUUUUUUAAAAAAAAUAUGAAUUCAAAUUCGAAUAUUUGUUGGAUGCUAAAUUUCGUUAUUAUAUUCGCUAAAAAUGAAUUCAGAUACAGUCGAACAUUUCUUUUGACCAAAUAUAGACCCGAUAUGUAUAUUCGGGUAUUAUUGGAAUAAUAAUAAUAUAUGCACUAAUAAUAUGCACUUAUAAAUUGCAACUAAAGUUUCGCAUUCAUUUUAAACUGUUAUAUACCUAUAUUUGAUUGAAUCAAACAUAAGAUUUAACAAUGACAAAUGUAAUUUUUAUAUGAAACUCACAAAUAAAAUAAACAAGGAGCACAAAAACCAUCUUGUUUUCCCAUAAUAUAUAUUCUCUCUCCACAAAAAGUAAUUCAAACUCUGUAUUUCUCCACAAGUCGCAAUUAAGCUGUCUUUAAUCUUUAUCUCCUGCAGAAAAAGAUAGUUAAACACUCUUUAUCUCCCCACACAUAUUACUAAUCAAAUAAUCUUUUGUUUUAAAAAUAUCUCUAAAAAAUGUAAACACAAUAUUGAAAUAAAGAAAUGAGAUAUUGGGAUAAUGAGAAUGGGAUAUUAGAAUGCAAUUUAUUUAAUUUAUUAAUAUAAACUAUGAUAAUAUAUAAAAAAAAAAUCUGGAUAUCCACAACUAUAUAUAUUCUGUGUUUUCAAAUAUCCGGAUAAUUUUGACUUCUUAAAAUUCUAUCCGUAUCCAUGUUCGACUGAAUUAAAAUAUUUUCGAUGCAGAAAUAGUUAUUAAUGAAUAUGAAUAUGAAUAUUUUUGGAUAACAUUCUAUCCAUUUUCACCCCUAGAGAGAAAAGAAGAGAAUGACGGACCGAAAAGAAAGGCGGAGAAAAGAGGGUGAGCAUAACAUCAAUUUUUCUAAUUUAAUAUUAGAAUUUCUGAUCCACGAUAGAAAAAAAAAAAAAAUCAUGCUAGCCCUUAUAUUUAGCAGGUGUAAAAUAUACACCCUAAAUUAGGAUUUACAAUUAGCACUACUCUGACAAAAAUCAAACAGAUCGAUAUCUAUAUAAUCUAUACUAUGUUAUUAUUUUAUAUCCAAUUCUCCUCUCUCUCUCUCUCUCUCUCUCUCUCUCUCUCUCUCUCUCCCCAAGUUGAUUUGCGAAUAGGACAAGAGUGGACCCACCUUCUUUUCACCAACCAAAUCUCCUCUUUAUUUUUUUAUAAAAAUUUAAAUUAUAUAUUUUUUGCACAUAGUUAAAAUUGCGUAUAUUAAAUAUAAAUUUUAAUUUCAUAAUAUUUAUCACUUAAAAAUAAAUUAUACAAUAAAAAAAAGAGAAAGAUUGAUAGAGUUUAAGCUAAUUACAAAUAAAUUUAUAGUUGCAAAAAUUUCAUGAAGUAUACUAACUAAACUACAAAAACAAAAGACACAUUUAAAUUUUAGAGUCAAAGUAUCAUUAACUGAUUUAAAAUCAAACAAAUUGAAAUGUUGGAUAGUAAAAAUAAUAUUUUGAAAUGUUGGAUAACCGAUUCAAAAUGAUCCAUAGUUCAAGAAAGUAUGAUACAUUUUUUCUUUGGUUUUAAAAUCAAACUUUAAUGCUAUAUUUAUAGUCUGAUGAGUGAUCAACUUUAAGUUCACAAUCUUCUCGAAUAUCCAAAAUAUAAUUAGUCAUUGAUCACGUUCAAAAUCUUUUGAGACAAAAUAUCCAAAUAUAAUUGAUCGAUUUUUAAUUUUAAUAAUUAUGUAUUCUAAACUUUAUUAGAUAGUUCAGCAUAUUCUUUCCUCAAAUAAAAUUAUUAAUUGAAUAAAACCAAUUUAUGUUCAACACUAUCUUCAUCUGAAAUAAAAAUAAAAUAUAAAAAAGGAUAAACUACACUUUUAGUCAUAGACUAUAAGGCACGUGACCUAUAGUCUUCAAACUUUAAUGUAUUAUAAUUUCUGGCUCAAACUAUGAGGCAUCUCACACCUUAGUUCUCAAACUUUAAUUAAUUAUAAUUUUUUACUCUAACUAUAAGUCAUAUGACAUUUUAGUAAGCAUAAUUUUAUUACUAUUAUAAGCAUAAUUUUACUAUUUUUAUAGUUUUUUCUUUAAUUUACUUUUAUCUUUCUUUUGUUUUUAUUGUAGCAGUUGUUGCCUAUAUAUCACGAACACUUCUAUAAGCCUCCGUGUUCAUAUCGGACAUGCCCGUGUCUGUGUCGGACACGUGUCCGAUAUGACACUUCUUGAACGCGCGUUCAAUGCCGAUUCAUAGCGCAUACAACCAAUAAAAAUAUAUUUUUUAUUUUGUUUUUUCUAUGCAUAUAUCACGUAAGAUGGUAAGCUUUUUGAUGAAUGCAUAUAAUUUUGUUAAUAAUAUAAAUAAAUUAUGUAUUGUGGAGAAUUUUUUUUCUUAAAAUACAUGAACUAUCAAUGAAAAUUUUACUAAUUUUCAUUCAUAUGAGAAAUAUAAUAAUAUUUUACCAAAAUUAAUAUUUUAUAUUAAUAAUAUUAUUAUAUUUUAUUAGUGUUAUCCAUGUCGUGUUCGUGUUCUAAUUUUUUGAAAGCUGCCGAGUUAUGGUGUCUGUGUAAGAAAAUUUUUAAAAUAAUAUAUUUUGUUUAUUGAUCUUUAGUGAAUGGAUACGAUCCUUAGUGAAUGGAUGCAACCCUUAGUGAGUGGAUGCAACUCUAAUCAAAGGGUGUGACUCUUAGAGUGAAAGGAUGUGACUUUUAGUGAAAGGAUAUGACAUAAAAAGACACAUCUUUAUAGUGUGUCUCUUCGAGUAUAUGUCCGUUGGAAUUAAUUCUUACAUUCAUUGAACUUGACUUAUAAAACUUAUUGGUAGUUAUAAUCAAAUGAAAAGUUACAAUUGAAGGGCCACUUCAUGAAACACCCGUUCAUGAAUAGUCACUUCAUGAAGCACUCGUUCGUGGUCUAUAUAAGUUCACAGUAUUGGUUGCAGAAACAUAAGACGAAAUAGUUGAAGAGUUUAAGUCUCCAUUCAUAAUAAUUCCAUUCUUGUUUUCUUAUUCUGUUUGACAACUUAAUCGAGUGAGUGCUCAAAGGCUCGACUUCGUGUGUGCAAACGCAAUUGAGGUUUAUGCUUUAUUGUAUCUUGGGAGACUGUCCGUUGACCCGGUGCACACCAAAUUAUUUGAACGGUGGGGACGGAUUAAGCCUUAUGAAAAGUGGCAUUGCUACACGCCUUGAAGCCUUUUUCAUCUUUCUACUUCAUAUCUUUUUCACUAUUUGCUCAAACAAUCUUAAGGCUUAAAUCCGAUAAUGUCGACUACUACUCUAUGAGAGAUGGCAACAAACUUUAUGAGGUUAGAAAGAUUUGAUGGCAUGGACUUCAGGUGCUGGUAGAAGAAAUUAUCUUUCCUUCUGUCGACUCUCAAAGUUGCUUAUGUUCUCACUACUCCAAGACUAGAAGAAAACGAUGAUGAACCUAUUGCACAAACUCGUACAAGACAAAAAUGGGAUGAAGAUGACAAUAUAUGCAGAGGCAACAUUCUAAAUGCUAUGUCGGAUGCGUUUUUCGACGUCUAUCAAAAUGUGAAAAUGGCUAAAGAACUGUGGGAAGGUCUUGAAGAAAAAUACAAAUCCAAGGAUGCCACAAGUAAGAAGUUUUUUUGUUAGCAAAUUUAAUAACUAUAAAAUGGUUGAUAGUAGAUCUGUUCUUGAUCAAUUACAUGAAAUUCAACAUAUUCUCAAUCAAUUUACUCAAUAUAAUAUGAAUAUGGAUGAAUCUAUAAUUGUGGCCUCUAUUAUCGAUAAACUUCCUCCAUCAUGGAAAGACUUUAAGAAAAGUCUUAAGUAUAACAAGGAAGAGAUUACUUCUAAAGAUUUGGCUAACCAUCUUCGCAUAGAAGAAGAAUAUCGUUUGCAAGAUGGCAAAAAGGAGCAAGAUGCUCAGAGUGCCAAAGUGUAUGUGACGGAAGAUGAGUAUAAUAAAACCUGUCAACCCACAAAAGAAAAUCGAAAGAGAAUCAAGCAUUCGAUCAACCACAACCUGACAAAUAAGAAAAAGAAAGGCGCAUGCUUUCAUUGUGGUAAACCAGGUCACUACAAGAAAGAAUGUCGGUUCCUCAAAAGGGAAAGUGCACUGGAUUCCAAAAAGAAUUUUGUGGCUAGGAUAUCCGAGGCUAACGUUGUCACGCCCCGGGGUCCCCUUUUUGUUUGAAACACAGCGGAAAAGCGUUUGAAUUUUUUUUUGAAAACCUGACCCCAGACUAUGCCAGAUCCGCCACAAAUACAGGGAAUCCACUGUUCACACGGACAGAGUCUCCCCAAUAGCCAAAUCAAAAUAGGGAUGAUAAGACAACAAUAUCGAAUCAGUCAAAUCUACCAAGUCAUAAAAAUAAUGAAACCUUAUAUACCUGAAAGUACUUGCAUAAUUUUCCUAAAGACCUAAACCAUUUUAUUUUCCAAAAGAUGGGGGGCACCAUCGAAGAUAUUUUCUAUUGCCAAAAGCGCAUGCUUUGUCAAAAGUUUCUAAAAAGCACCUGAAGACAAAUUUGUAGCUUACAUUUUGAUGCCACACUUACCACUUACAUACUUACAUAUCGAUAGACAUAUAAGUAAACUAACACCAACAUAUGACAAACAUGAAAACAUAACACACUGCGGCACGUUCAUGUCUNGAACCCGGUAGGUUUUAAAAAUCCAUACCCAUAUCCAUACCCGCCCAAAAACCCGAAACCCGAACCCGGACCCGGACCCGGCCGGUUUUAAAAAUCCAUACCGUUAAAUGAAGAUCUAAGGGAUAAAAAUUAUUAAAUAUUUUAUAUAUUAUAUAAAUAAAUAAAAAUAAAGUAUGUAUAUAUAUAAUUUAUUCAGGUUCGGGUUUGGGUUCGGGUCGGGUUCGAGUUCGGGUCGGGUAAAUACAAAAUCCAUACCCGUAUCCAUAUCCGUCGGGUUUUUAUUUUCUAUACCCAUAACCAAAUCCAUACCCGUUUAGCUCGAGUAAACCCGCCCUGUUCGGGUUCGGGUUCCGGUAAUAUUUCGGGUAUCUAUACCCAUUGACAUCCCUACUCUCACCGAUGUGUAUCAUGUACCCGAAGUUAGAAUGAAUCUUGUUUUAGGAAGUCUUCUUAACAAAUUUGGAUUCAAACUUGUAUUUGAGGCCGACAAAUUUAUUUUGUCAAAGGGUGGAAUCUUUGUGGGAAAAGGAUAUUUGUAUGAGGGCAUGUUCAAACUCAAUUUUAUUAAUAAAAUGAAUAUUUCAGCCUAUAUUAUUGACUUUUCUUCUUUAUGGCAUAAUCGUUUAGGACAUGUUAAUUAUAGAAGAUUACAUGAUAUGGCUAAGUUAGAAUUAAUUCCUAAUUUUGAUAAUAAAUUAGAAAAAUGUAAUACUUGCAUGCUCACUAAAAUUACUAGAAAGUCUUUUCCUAAAAUUGAUAGAUGUUCUAGUCUACUUGAAUCGGUACAUAGUGAUGUUUGUGACUUGCAUGCUUCUUCUACUAUUGGUGGAAAGAAAUAUUUUGUUACAUUUAUUAAUGAUUUUUCUAGAUAUAGUUAUGUUUAUCUUUUGCAUUCUAAAAACGAAGCGCUAGAUAAAUUUAGAAUUUAUAAAUAUGAAGUUGAGGUGAAUGUGAGAAAAUGGUCAAAUACCUAAGAUCUGACAGAGGAGGAGAAUAUUAUGAUCCUUCAUAUUUUGAGUCCAUUGGUAUUAUACAUGAAACAUCUGCACCUUAUACUCCACAACAAAACGGAGUUGCAGAAAGAAAAAAUAAAACAUUAAUGGAAAUGGUUAAUACUAUGCUUUCUAACUCUGGGUUAAGUUAUGGAUUUUGGGGCGAAGCUUUAUUAACUGCUUGUCAUUUACUAAAUAGAAUCCCAACAAAGAAGAAUGAUAAAACUCCUUAUGAAUUAUUUAAGAGAAGAAAGCCCCAUAUAAAUUAUUUAAAAGUUUGGGGUUGUAGAGCUAUUGUGAUGGUUCCAGAACCGAAAAAAAAGAAACUGGGUGAAAGAGGAAUUGAGUGCAUAUUUAUUGGGUAUGCACAACAUAGUAAAGCAUACAGAUUUUACGUGAUUGAAUCUAAUGACUUCAUUGAGAUCAACACAGUUUUUGAAUCUAGAGAUGCUAUAUUUGAUGAAAACAGAUUUGUUUCAAUUCCUAGACCCAAAGAACUUAUUGUGAGUAAAGAACACUCCAAUGAGAAAAAUGAUGUUGCAAUUGAAACCCCAGAACUUAGAAGGAGUAAAAGAGUUAGAAUUGCUAAAAUACUUGGACCGGAUUUUUAUAUUUUUCUUAUUGAGGGUAGUAAAGAAAUGAUUACAGAAAGUUUUUAAUUUUCUUUAAACAUUGAUUCAGACCCCACAACAUUUGAGGAGGCAAUGAAAUCUCCUGAUGUCGCUUUUUGGAAAGAAGCGAUAAAUGAUGAAAUGGACUCAAUUAUGACAAACCAAACAUGGAAAUUAGUUGAUCUUCCUCCUGGAUGUAAACGUAUUGGGUGUAAAUGGAUUUUCAAAAGGAAAAUCAAAGUAAAUGGCACCAUAGAUAAAUUCAAGGCAAGACUUGUUGCCAAAGGGUUUACACAAAAAGAAGGCAUUGAUUAUUUUGAUACCUAUGCACCUGUUGCCAGAUUAGCGACUAUUAGAACUUUGAUUGCUCUUGCUUCUAUGUAUAAUUUGAUUAUUCAUCCAAUGAAUGUCAAAACUGCAUUCUUAAAUGGAGAAUUAGAUGAAGAAGUUUAUAUGGAACAGCCCGAGGGCUUUGUUGUUCCUGGACAAGAGCAUAAAGUGUGUAAACUUGUUAAGUCGUUGUAUGGGCUUAAACAAGCACCUAAACAAUGGUAUAAAAAUUUGAUCAGAUUGUUCUUUCCAAUGGUUAUAAAAUUAAUGAAUUUGAUAAAUGUGUUUAUAGUAAAUUUUCAAAUGGUAAAGGUGUUAUUAUAUGUCUAUAUGUUGAUGACAUGUUAAUUUUUGGCACCGAUGUUCAGUAAGUAGAAAAUACUAAAAAUUUUUUAUCUUGCAAUUUUGAUAUGAAAGAUAUGGGGUAGGCUGAUAUUAUUUUGGGAAUUAAAAUUAUUCGUGAAAAUAAUGGUUUAUUUUUAACCCAGUCUCAUUACAUCGAAAAGAUUCUUAGAAAAUUUGGUUAUUUUGAUUAAUCUUAAAUUAGUUCGCAAUACUGGUAGAUCAAUUAAUCAGUUAGAAUAUUCUACGAUUAUUGGAAGUUUGAUGUAUGCCAUGUCUUGUACUAGGCCUGAUAUUGCAUUUGCUCAACGUAAAUUAAGUAGAUUUACUAGCAAUCCAGGUAAUGUACAUUGGCAUGCUAUUUACAAAAUUUUGAAAUAUUUGAAAAAAACAAUGGACUAUGGAAUUUUCUAUUGUGGAUAUCCAACAGUAUUGGAAGGCUAUACAGAUGCCAGUUGGAUAACAGAUCAAGAAGAUCAUGCAUCUACAAGUGGGUGGAUAUUUAUAUUAGGUGGAGGUGCGAUUUCUUGGGGUUCCAAGAAACAGACAUGUAUAGCAAACUCUACCAUGGCAGCAGAAUUUAUAGCACUAGCGUCAACUAGUAAGGAGGCAAAAUGGAUAAGGAAUUUAUUAUAUGAAAUUCCAGUUUGGCCAAAACCAAUGUCGCCGGUAUCGCUACAUUGCGAUAGUGAGGCUACGCUCUCAAGAGCAUAUAGUCAAACAUACAAUGGGGAGUCAAGACAUAUUGGAUUAAGACAUAGCUAUGUAAAACAACUGAUAUCAGAUGGCAUAAUUACCAUUGAUUUUGUAAGAUCAAACCAAAAUCUUGCGGAUCCGUUGACUAAGGGACUUCCAAGAGAAUUGAUAUUCAGGACAUCGAUGGGGAUGGGUCUCAAGCCCAUAUUACAAAGUCACCAAUGAUGAAAACUCGACUUAACACUUGAAACAUCAUCAAGUCUUAAGUUCAAUGAGCCAAAGUACAUCAUAUGGAGUGAUUGCAAGCACUAUAAUAUAAAAUUUCCAUCCCAAGUAAAGUGCUUGGUAUCAGGAUUGAAAAGGGAAGGUUGAACUAAUCAAGUUCUUAAUAGACCUACAGUAGUAUUUACUGAAGUGUUAAAUACGGGACACUUAUGGUAGAGUCUACUUAUAUGAAUGUGAAGUGUGGCCGCUUCUAGGAGUUAAGGGCUUGACUCUAACAGCAUUCAUGAAACAGGAUGCAGACACAAAGCCAUAAAAGUGUCAACAAUAAAAUAGAGCACUCGAUUGAUUAUACAUUUCUAUGAAGAUAUGUCUGGUUAGUCGAAAAUAAUUGUUGGUUCAAAGCUUGUCUACCAUUCAAUUAUGACUAACUUUGAUGUGUUUUCACUAAGUGUAGGUUCAAGUUUUAAUACACCUACAUCUAUGCAUACAAUUUUGUCAAGUUGUCAAGAAUUUUAAUUUUUGAUUUUUUGAUUUUGAUUUUGUUUUAUUUUGAUUUUGACGUAUUUUGAUGUAUUUUAAAAAUUGGUGGGGAAUUGUAAGAAAAUUUUUAAAAGGCUAAAUUACAGAAAACCUCCCUGUCAUAACCCGAUUUUUCACUUUCCCCCUUGCCAUUUAAAAACCUACACUUUGCCCCCUUGUAAAAUGUAAAAUGUGCACUUCACCCCCUACCGUUAGUGAUCCGUUAGGGUUCCGUUAUAAAAUAUUUUUUUAUGCCAAAAAUACCCUUCCGCCCUCUUCUCUGUUGCUUCGCCUCCCUCCGGCUCGCCGUCUCGCUGCCGCCUCGCCUCCUCCACUGCCUCGCCCUUGCCCUCGCCCUCCCCCACAUCCUCUUCGCCCUCCUUCGCUGCCUCGCCUUUACCCUCGUUGCUCUUGCCAACCUCUCUAUCAGCGCCCACCUCGAUUUCCUCCCUACUAUCACCGAAAUCGAGGGGCGGCGAAGGUGCAGGAAGAGAAGGGGAGCAGGUAGAGAAGAAAAUGGAGAGAAAUCGCUGCCGAUCGAGGUGUGAAUCGCGGCCGAUCGAGGCGGCGGUCGAGAAAGAUAAGGGAGGAGACGAAAAUGGUGAGGGGCAAAAUGGUCAUUUUACACAUCGUACCCCCCCCUCCCCUUGUGAACAUUUUUCAUUUUACAAGGGGGCAAAGUGUAGGUUUUUAAAUGACAGGGGGAAAAGUGAAAAAUUGGGUUAUGACAGGGGGAUUUUAUGUAAUUUAGCCUUUUUAAAAUAAUAUAUUUUGUUUAUUGAUUUUUAGUGAAUGAAUGCAAUCUUUAGUGAAUGGAUGCAACCCUUAGUGAAUGAAUGCAACCCUUAGUGAGUGGAUGCAACUCUAAUCAAAGGGUGUGAUUCUUAGAGUGAAAGGAUGUGACUUUUAGUGAAAGGAUAUGACAUGAAAAGACACAUCUUUAUAGUGUGUCUCUUCGAGUAUAUGUCCGUUGGAAUUAAUUCUUACAUUCAUUGAACUUAACUCAUUAAACUUAUUGGUAGUUAUGAUCAAAUGAAAAGUUACAAUUGAAGGGUCACUUCAUGAAACACCCAUUCAUGAAUAGUCACUUCAUGAAGCACCCGUUCGUGGUCUAUAUAAGUCCACAACAUUGGUUGUAGAAAUAUAAGACGAAACAGUUAAAGAGUUUAAGUCUCCAUUCAUAAUAAUUCCAUUCUUGUUUUCUUAUUUUGUUUGACAAUUUAAUCGAGUGAGUGCUCAAAGACUCGACUUUGUGUGUGCAAACGUAGUUGAGGUUUAUGCUCCAUUGUAUCCUAGAAGGCUAACCCAAUGCGCACUAAAUUAUUUGAACUGUGGGGACGGAUUAAGUCUUAAGGAAAGUGGCAUUACUACACGCCUUGAAACCUUUUUCAUCUUUCUACUUUAUAUCUUUUUCACUAUCUGCUCAAACAGUCUUGGAUCCGUAGUGACUGUGGGGGUGCGCUGUGCUGAAUCNNNNNNNNNNNNNNNNNNNNNNNNNAAUUUUUUGCAUCAAAAAGUAAGGGAAAAUGAAGCUGCAGGGACUGAAAUAAAACUGCAGGGACUGAAAUGAAACUGCCCGUAGGGACUGUUUCGUAAAUACAGGGACCAAAGUGUAAACGGGUCAUAAUAUUUUCGUUAUAACUCCGAUUUGCAAAAUUUUUGUGGCUACAGAUUUCUAACGAAAAAUUACACAUUAUUAUCCAUAAUUUACCUCCUUCUUUAGUUGAGAAUCAAAUUCUUAAUCUAAAACCAAAAGAAGGCAUAUGGAUUCAACUGGAAAACAAAAAUACCUGCGGUGGCGAAGGUGUUGGAACCAAUUCAUCAUCUGAAGACACAUCAUUCUCAAUAGAUCCACUUCUGCCGAUUUGUGAUUCUGUGAAAAAAAAAAAAAAAACAAAGGAUGAGUGUGGCAACAUCAUGUGAAAUUAAUUAUAAGCAGAAUACGAUAAAGAUCACCUAUCAUUGAAGACAUAGUAAGAGGAAGCUUCCCAUGAGCUACUUUAAUUGAAGCAUCCAAUGGUAGAUUUUUUGGGCUUCUUAAAGGUUCCACAUUGCAUAUCUAUGUAAAAAUAUAAAUACAUAUAUAUAGUUAAUACAUGGAAAGAGAGGAUGUUAGAAUAAAUCAACAACAUUCGGAUCAUUCGAAUUCUAUGUCGCACCUUUGACCUUGUUGUAGAAUCUUGCAAAUGCAUUUCACCUCCGGUAGGUGAGUCCAUAAUCUAAAGGGAAUAGACAGGGAAUAGACGAGAUUGAGAAUUUUCCACCUUGAGGACAAGGUGGCUUUUGACGGCUGAGGAAUGAUACGUUUUUAGAUUAGAAUUUUCUAAUUAUGGAAAUAAAUAUUACUAUAUUAGGAUAUUUUAGUUAUUUCUUAACUUAUAUAAAAAUGUUUCUUCUAGAGUUUGAAAUAAUAAGAAGAAAUUGGCCAUCUCGUUCUAUCUUUUCUCUCAUUCUCUUCAUCCUUUUCUAUCUCUAUCUCUCUAUUAUCUCUCUCUUUCGGAGGUUCUAUCCUCUCAAAGUGACUGUUUACCUCUAUCGAUACGGUAGGAUCGUAUCACAAAACUUGUAAUACCAUCAAACAUAUGUUGGUCAAUCAAAAGUCCAGGUAAAUGAACUAACAACAAUUGUGCGUAGCACCGUCAAAAAGAAACAAACUUUUAUUAGCCUCUUUACGUCUCCACAAAAAUAAAUGACACAAUAUUACAACAGUGAAGCUCAAAUUUGACAUACUAAUAUUAGCUGAAAGGACAUCAAAGUCCACUUUUAGAUUUACAAAAAUAAAGACAUGCAGCAACUUUUCAUUCUGCUAUUUCAUUCUUGCUAAUAAAGACCGCGCAACUCAUACAACUGGAAUAAGCACACCAGAAUUACCAGACAUGGAAUGAUUCAGUCGCCAUAAUUCAUGCAAAUUUGCAGAUACAUAAUCUCAGCUAAAAAUAAAAUCGAAGAGCAUUAUAUGCUCCUCCCCUAAAUAUCUAUACAUGAUCUCUCUAAUCAACAAGAAAUACUUGAAUAGCCACAAUAAAAGGUGUGGUUCUUGUGUUCUUUCACAAAUGAUACAACAAAAUACCGCGACAACGGUUGUUCAGAGAAAAGGUUCCACAGAUUAGUUCACUGUUCAGUGGUUAUUAAUCAUUUGGAAAAAGCAUGCCCAGGCAGCAGUCAUAUUAGUUCCUGUUCUUUGCGACUAGCCAUUUUAGCAUUAUCGCGAUCAUGCUUGAACACAAAGUACAAAGGACUAUAGAAAAGGCAACACAAACCAAAAGGAAUGACCAUCAUGAUCAAUAAACCCCUCGAGAGUGCAAACGCCCCUUGAGGAGAUCCAUUCACCAGACUCACAAACUUUGAGUCAUAACCAUAGAUCUUCUCAGUUAGCAUUCCCACGGCAGGAGCCGCAAAUGAGGAGAACGAACCCUCAAAAGCUCGGUCGAAGGCGUAGAUCAUGGUGCGAUGCUUUGAGGGGACCACCUCAGCAAACAUUGGGUUGUUGGCACACGUGGCACACCAGCUGAUAGUGAGCCCCAUGAAAAAGAGGGUAGUGGCAAACGCGUACCAGUUGCUCACGGACUGGGGAAUGACGGUUAGUAGGAUCCACGAGAAUGGAAUGCCCAUAAAGGCACUGAACUGUGCGCAGAUGAUGCGGCCCGAGUCUGGAUAGUAUCGUGACAUCUGAUCUGCUAUUAUUCCACCGAGAAGUGAUCCAGUGGCGCAUCCGAUGGCAAAGAGACUGUUAAGAGCAGCUGAGCUUUUGUGAUCAAAACCUAAAGAAGAGAGGGUUUUAUUAUACAGCGUGUAAGUAACCACUAUAUAUGGUACUUUCAAAUACAAUCCAAGAUCUUUGCUAAUUAAUUCUGAGCGUGUAAAAACAUUUCCGACUUGUUCAUUACCAAUCAGUUCAAACCACAUUGUGAAGAAAACUAUGGCGGUCCAUGGCAAGGAUCCGACUAUCCCCUGCAGGACAAUGAUCUGAAAUGUUUGCACUCUCAUCACAGAUCUCAUUGCUAACCAGGAAUCACUCCAGACGGAAGGUGGAGGUAGACUCCCUUUGGUAACCAGAUGGGACCUGAGAGAAAAAAGAUUCCACUGUUGUACUGUAGUAGAGGUUACAAGAACCGCUCACAUUUGUAAGAAACCAAUAAAUUCUAAAUAACUAUAAUAGCAGAUCAUCCUGAAUCUAGUGCUAUGAAAUGCUUAACAUACUCAGCUUCUAGCAAAAUGUAGAUGGCUUAACAAAAGGGUAAGCUCACUUUGUAAAGAUCUUCCAAGGAAAUAACCAAUUCAUUAAUAAUUUAAUGGUUCUGACUACUUUUCACCCUAAGUUUUCAUUUUGUUCAUAAUUAACAACAAAUAGCUAAUUAAGCCGCUAACUUAAGAAAAUAUACAAUUCAAUUAAAUGAACACAAAUCAAAACAAAUGAAUGUUGAGGGGUUGUCAAUAAGAAACACAGAAUAUCAGGGGCCUACUUCAAAUUAUCAACUGUUGGAGUCUCUUCAUUCACAUUUACCUUCUCAUUUUCCCAGCCCUAGAGGAAAAAGGUCAAAAACUCGAAAGCAAGGUUUUAAGUGCCCGUCGGCACGGGUCGUAUCCACCGUGCCGUACCGUGCCAACAAGAUACUGGCACGAUACAGACCCCGUGCCGAUGGCAUAGCUCAAAACCCUCUAUUCUUUAAAUUAGUAAGUAAUUUCCUCAAUAAAGUUCAAAAGAUGUGAUAAAAAGAUAUAAUAAAUAGUUAGAAUAUUUUGUUGCUAAAGAAAAUAAAUAUUUCAUGCUAUUAUGUGUUGGCACACAAGAAUUUUUUUGACCGGCACGCAUCGGCACGGCUCGGCACGCACCGUGCCGGCAAGUUUCCGGCACGACCCCGUGCCACGGCACUUAAAUCCUUGCUCGAAAGUAUGUUGGUAAUGGUUGACAAAGCAGGCUAAUAACAAGCCCAACCUUUGAGAUUCACGUAUAAAUUGAUGUGGAAAUUCUCAAAGUAACUCAACUAAAUGUUGUUUGGCUGUGCUUAUGCUUUCUUGUUUGUUGUCCUCGAGUAUGCAAUUGAAUUUCCCGGCAAAUGGCAAAUCAUUGCAAACUAUAUAAUUGUAGGUUCUACUUGGGGAAAAAAAACAAAAAAUUAGUAACCAUCCGCUUUCGCUUCUUUGGCUCUUAAAAAAAAAAGGUUUGCAAGCUAAUCAACAAUCACAAGCAAGGAUUUAAGUGUCGUGGCACAGGAUCGUGUCGGAAACUUGCCGGUACGGUACGGUAUGGCACAGUACGUGCCGGGCCGUGCCGAUACAUGCCGGUCAUAAAAAAUUCAUAUGUGCCGACAUAUAAAUAUAUAAUAGCAUGAAAUAUUUAUUUUCUUUAGCAACAAAAUAUUCUAACUGUUUAUUAUGUACUUUUUAUCAAAUCUUUUGAACUUUAUUGAGAAAAUUACUUACUAGUUUAAAGAAGAGAGAGUUUUGAGCUAUGCCAUCGGCACAAAGGUUGUAUCGUGCCAAUAUCUUAUUGGCACGAUAGAUACGGCCCGUGCUGAUUGGCAAUUAAAUUCUUGAUCACAAGAAUAGAGAAGCUCAUCAUCAACACAAUCAAUUGUAUAGAAGUUGAGGAGGAGGACACCCAACAACAGGCAAAUUUAUCCAAAAAAAGCCCUAAAAUUGCUUCAAAAGUUAAGCAUACCAAUUUAUAGUACAUCACAUAAAAAAGUUUUCAUUAGGAUGUAUAACCAACAAAACUUCUGAAUAAUGAUGAUAUAAUCUAGCCCCAAAUCAUAGUUGAAAGAUGAAACUUUAAUACGACCAUACAACAUAAAUUUCAUAAACUAGCUUAAUUUUGUUGUUCUAGGAUCUACUUUAGCGAGUAUGUUUCAAAUUAUAAUUUUCUCCAUCACGUGAAUCAAAGACCUCAAUAAUGAUGAUAUUUCAAUUUUCAACUCUCUAUCACAAGAACCAAAGCUGGAACUACUGAAUUACUCACCAAAUCUACCUAACAUUCUUUUACUAUAAGCUAUACAGCCCUCCACUCUUUAUUGUCACGUGGAAAAUUGUAGGGCUGAAUGAUGAUGGAUUCAAAGGAUUCACAUACAUGAUAACAUGGCAAUACCUGAUAAGAUGCAAAUAUGUGAUACUCUUAUACCCAUCAUCCAUUACUGUGCUCCCUGUUUCUUACCACUACAAGUACAAAUUAAACAGAGCAUAUACCUUCUGAUAAGUAUGGCAUCAUACAGUUUCUAGUUCACUCUUUUGUAGAGCUUGGCCUAUUCUAACUGCAAAUGUAACUAUAAAAAUAUCAUUUUCUAUCGGCUUAAGCUUUUGCAGAAAAUGGUUAUUUCAUAUAAUUUAAUAUCGUAUCAGAGCAAGAGGUCCUGAGUUCAAAUCACGCCAGGUUCCUAGCAUAAUUGAUUUCCUCCUAUUUAAUUCAAGUCCACAUCAUAAGCCUAUUAAAAAGUUUCGAGCCCAGACGUGAGAGGGAAUAUUAAAUAUAAAAAUAUAAAAACAUCAUUCUCUAUCGGCUUAAGCUUUUGGAGAAAAUGGUUGUUUCAUAUUCUUUAAUAGUAAUCUACAUCCAAACUCCACCUCACUUAAGUCAAGAGUAAGGCCCAACACCAUAAGGUGUUCUCAUAUAAAUCGAGGUAAAGUGCACUAGCAAUCAGCGAUUAGUAAGAUUUCUUUGAUAGUAGAGUUAACAACCUUUUCUUUUUUUGGGCCCUACACUAAUGAAUUUCUCCGAACAAAAGUAAGAUCAUCAUUUACCUUUUUCACUGAUUUAGCUAUAUAAAAAAAGGAAAAGAACAAGGAAUAACAAUUGUAGAAUAUUUCAGCGAUCUUGCCACCAUAAGACACCAAUAAGAGCCAAAACAACCAAAAAAUCAGAAUUUAUUUAUUGUCUUGACACUUCAAGAAUCUUAUUUUCAGCCUGAAGACAGCCUUGACUAUGUUGGAAGUUAUGCAUAUGGACUAAUCGACAUUUGUAUAGAAUCUCAAAUAGGUUGAAAAGUCCUUUUAUGGUCAUAUUGGUUAAUCUAGCUUCCUAGAAAACACAGCUCUCUUCAAUUGUAUCAAUCAUUCAUGGACAGUAAAGUUAUUUUCCUGCACAGCCACAGAACGCGGGCCUUCGUCUCUCUCUACUACUACAAAUUGAGAUAUCCAAGUUUAGUAUGAUAAGGCUGAAGUUGGUCAUGGGUGAUAGACUUGUUCGGUAAUCAAUUUAUCUUAUUUGAUUAGGCAAAGAUCACUGAAAGCUAGUUGUUUGAUUAUUUUCCGGCAGCUAGAGCAUUUUUAAAACCUACUUAUGUAAGCCAAGGAUAUGGUGUAAUUCAUUGCAUGACUAAGCGUGACGAGAUCCACAAAUAGGACCUUUCUCAAUCCAUUGAAACAAGAAUACUCAUGAUUGAGAAAGUUUAUGUUGAGUCCUCCAAGAUAAUUUUUUAAAUAAGUUUAGAUACAUUUAUCCCUUCAUAGAUUGCAUAUGUGAGGCCUGAAAUCAAGUGAAAUUAUUGUGAUUACUAAAGGAUGAAGGCCUUCGGUUCAUCGUGGGUUCAGAUUUUGAGUGAAGUUUUCAUUUCAUAAACUUUAUCCUAGUAUGUAACCUUGAAGUACCGGAGCCUCUUAGAAAAUAGAUUACAUAACUUCCAAAAUUGAGGCCAAGUUGUUUAAAGCAACACAUUGCCCACUUGUUGGAAAUGUUGGUCAAGAUAAGGGGACCAAAUGCAAGCCAAGAUCUCUUCGAUGUUGGAAAUAGUAGUUGGCAGGACACAAACUACCAGCCAAAGGAUAGUUGCCUGCUUGACUGCUUCAGUCGCUCAAUCAAUUUCUGCUGGUUCAACUUCAGCCUAGGCCAAACUGAGAGCUAGUUACGACAUGUAAUAACAUAGCACUGACCAGGCGACGGAAGAUUCAAUAAGGUUGACAUAAAAGGAAAUGUAUCAAAAAUUACAAAAGUGCUUAAUUUGUAUCAAAAUUUGUUGAAUGCUAAAAAUUCUCGUUCUUCCGGCUCUAGAACAUGCACCUUAAACUGUCUUUCAUUCAUUCUAGUUAUUAGUUUCCCUGGUAGUACUUUGAGGCUUAAGUGCAUCAGAAGAAUGAGGAGACUUCGUUGAUCUUCAACAUCCAUUUCUAGCAUCCAGACCUUUGAAGAACAACACUGCUAAAAAAUGCAGUCUGAAGAUCUGCAUCAUGCAUUUUCUAUACAAGACCUAAAGGAGAUUUCUCAAACUACCUCACUUCUUUAAAGCAGUAUAACAGCAGUUAAAGAAUCUUAUAUUACCAAAGCUAACCUAAUAUAUCUGAAGAAAACAGAAAGGAUCACGCCUUGGUGACAACAUGCCACUUAAAUAACUGUGUCAACACAACACUAUUCCCUAUUCCCAAAUUCCAAAAUGAAUCAAAAAUGUGAGAAACGGAAUAAAUAAGAAAUGGAAAAACCAAACGGACAUAAUGAAAAACAACUUACACAAACAUAAAUUUAUUUUGAUCCAAAUUUGAACACAACUUUAAUUGUGCUGUGUUCAGCGCUUGCUUAGUAAUGAUAAGCCACAGCCCUCGUAACUAGCAGAGUCCCAUACCAUUCGCCGAACUCGAUAUCACCUGCGAAUGGGACGAGAUGCGAGUUCACUGGUAUGCAAACUCGUGAGCGUUACACUAAUGAUUUGGGAACUCUGAUCUCUGACUUUGCCACAAAUGUGGACACUCUGAGUAUGCUUUGCGGGGAAGAGGACGAGGACUUUGGGCGAAACAAACACCCUCUAAGUCAGAAUUUUCAGAUCCAGUUGGAUUUUUUGCCUUGGGCCUCCCCUAGCUAUUGCUAGCAUAAUAACUUGAUAACUUCUGUUUAGUGAUGGCUAAAAAAAAAGAAAUUGUAGGCUGUAGCCUAAGAAGUAUUCGACAUCCCAAGAAGCAAUUCAUGAAUCUUAGAUGAAAAUUAAAAGAAACAAUAUGUAGAAGCAAAAGAGUCUUUCAAAUAAUAUCUAGCAGUAAUAUCGAACAUAUUAACCUUCAGAAACAUGAAGAAAAGAAUCAUACCUCUCAGUCUCCACAUGAGCACCAGAAGAGAUAAAAGAGGUUCUUCUAGGAUCAACAACGAACAAGAAGACGAGAAGUCCAAUAAGCAAACUCAAUGACGCAAUCAUAAUAAAGGCAAAACGCCAUCCUGGCAUUCCCCAAUAUUCCUGCUCAGCCAUAAUUGUUGCUAAAAUACCACCUCCUAUGCCUCCUAUUGCACCAACAAGGCUUAACAGUCCAAACCCCACACCGCGUGAACCAUCCAUGUAGCUAUCAGCAAUGAAUGAUUGGAGUGCGGGGAUAACGAUUGCAAGGCCAAAACCAUUCACCGCUCUCCAUAAUGCAACUUGCUGAAAAUGCUGACUGGCUCCAACAGCAGCCGUUGAUAAGGCCCAACACGCAGUGCCUAUAGUGAGAACUGUUGGCCGAUCAUAGUGAAGAGCUAGUAGGCCUGCCAAUGGAGAUGAUAUUGCCUGCACAAAGUUUCUUAUAAAUGUAAGGUAUCCAAGCUCAGUAGGUCCGGCAUUGAAUGCUUCACUGACUUCUUUGUAAACUGCCGGAAGGAGAUUCUCAUCAGCGCGCUCCAUUACAGAAGCCAUAUUGAUGAGGAUAAGAGACACUGAGAAUCCAAAAAUCUUCUUUGAUCUGUAUUAAUAAAGUCACAGAAUGGUAUGCUGCACUAAGUAAUAAUGGAUACCAGAAAUUAGAAGUACACAACUGUUCCUGCAACUUGUUUAAUUCUGAGGUAUCCUUAUGAUGUAUCAAGUAAUUAGCAUUUGCAAAGAGAAAGAAAAGAUAAUGAAAUCAACAGCCAUCACUAGUAAAAAAGUAUAUUGUCAAUCAUAUUUGUAAAUGAUUACAUCAUAUCUAAACUAAACGUAUAUGAAUAUAAAUCUUCCCAAGCAGACUCCCCUACUUGAGUUGCAUAGCUGCACAUUCUCCUGAGAAUCCUACGCAAUUUUCUAGUGCUACUAUGAAAGGACAUUGAGAUACUUCCAAAACAAAAUUUGCCCUAAAAUAGUAGGCAUGUUCCUCACUUUUUACAGGGCAAAGAUGUAUCUCAAUUUACAAGCAUCUUAAAGUGACAACUACGAGGAAUCUAGAGUAGUUACUGAACUGCAGCCAUCUCUGUUGAUGUAGAUUACCCCCAGAAGGAUAGCCUAAUUUAGUGACAGAACUAAAU
rnacentral:lncRNA from 1 species